UUCGAAAUAGUUGGAAUGACGUUAUUUGUAAGGAAGUAAAUUCUCGAAAAACGAGAGUUGAACUUCGAUUGGAAUCAACUGAUUGUCGGUUAGGUAUGCUUCAAAAAGGCCGAAGGCGUCGAAAUACAAGAAGUGCAUUGUGGACGGCCUCGGAGGGCAAGUUGUGUAAACCUGCACAAUUGCAGAUUUUGCUCUCGGGGACCGAUCCUUGGUGGGAGGGACCGGUUCCCGUAAGCAUUGUGAGUGGCAGAAAAAUGCUACGCACAAAAGUUGCUAUCGGGGUCCGGUCUCUCAGGGGAAGGGGACAGGCCUCCCUAUGCGUAAAAUGGGUAGGGUGGCACUGCUCGCAAAGUUUGCUCUCGGGGACCGGUCCCCCUAGGGACAGACCGAUCCCCGUACCCGAAAAUGCCCAGGGCUGGGCUGUGCAUAACUUGCAAAGUUGAGGGGGGUUUUGGGUAAUUGUGCAUGUGUGGGGUUAAGUGGAGGGUAGCCUUUCUCUCUUCUCUCACUUUCCCUCAAACCAAACCUAAACCUAAGCCCUCCUUCUCUCUAAGCUCUCUUCCUCUCUCUCUAGAAGGUGAAGGAGGAGGAGUUGGUGGAGAUUAAGAUCAAGAGGAGGUUCUUCUUCUUCUUCUUCUUCCCCCUUGGCUAGGAGCAAGCUUGUAGAGGUAAGCUUCUAAGCUCAACCAUGGUAGAUCUCUAGGGUUUACAUUUUAUACUCUAGAAAUGAUUUGGUUGGAACUCUAGCAUGCCUAAUAGAUACUUAAUGCAUGAGUUUGGAGAUUUAGAGAUGGAUUCUUGCACGAUUGCAAGCUAGGGCUCCAAAAUGGGGUUUUGCUUUGUGGUAGGGUUUGAUCCAAAUUGAUCAUGUAUUAACCUAAUUGAUAGGCUUUCUGACACGUUGGCGAAGACGGUUCGGCAAUCCGUCGAGCUCGUGCAAAGUUAUUGGCAAAAAGAACCUUUCGAGCUUCGUUUCCGCCUGGGAGGCCGAGACGACGUCAUAAAAUCGCCAAAGCGCAUUCCUAGAGUUGUGACAACGCCAGAAGGUGGGUGGUGUCAUCCCGAAGCAACCAGGCUCCUCUUUAUGUCUUAAUGCAUUGUAAUCUUGCAUCUCUUACAUAUAUGCAUUGUAGGAUAAAUGUGCAUUGCCAUUUCCUUAUGCUUUCCUAGAUGAUAUCAUAGUGUGAGUUGAAUGCUUGAGUAUAGAUUGUCAAUUCCAAAGCUCUAUCAUCAAAAAUAAUUUAUGAGUACAAAAAGCUCUAUACUCAUAAGAGUAUAGUAGCCCUACUCUCUCUCUAUAUAUAUGGUAUAAAUUAUACACUUUCAAUUACAUAUAUUAUAGAGAUAGUUCACCUACGAGGCUAAGGCUACUAUACUCUUAUGAGUAUAGAGCACUUCGUACUCAUAAAUUAUUUUCAAUGAUGGAGCUUCCGAAUCGAUGAUCCUCUCUGUUACAUAUGAUUUAGAGUAUUUGAAACUUCUAGAAAAUAAAUUUCGUAAUUUUUUGAAAUCAUAAGAAAGUUCAUCAAGCGGGUAUAAAAUGAAUGGUCAAAAUAGAAUGAUGUCUUGAAAAUGGAUGAUCGGAUCCUUCAAUUUAAGAUCGGAGUUAUUGAUCUUUAUCUAUACAGUGAAUAGAAUUUUCUAUCAAAAAUUCAACUGAUUUCGAUUUUUUUACAACGUUAAACUAGCAAAUAUUCCAUACCGGCCGUUAAAAAUUGUCAAUUUUGUGACCUUUUGAUCAUAAGGUAAAUGAUGUCGAAAAAUUACAAAAUUUGAUUUCUAGACAUUUUAAAUGCUCUAGAUAACGUUUAACGGUAUGGAUCGUCGAUUCGGAAGCUCUAUCAUCAAAAACAACUUAUGAGUACGAGGGCGAUCGUACUCAUAAGAGUAUAGUAGUCGGACUCCACCUACAAUAUUAUUAAUAAAGAAUGGUGUUUACUAUCUUCCGAAGGGUUAGCAAGUUGUCAGUAAAUAUUAUUCAUUAGGAGCAUUGGCUGAAUUCUCUGUCUAUAUAUAGUGUAUUUAUAAAAUUAAAAAUUUGAAACUCUAUUCCUCCCAUGGUUCUCCUCUAAUUAGGAACUCUAUGAAGCUUGGGAUAAAUAAGGAGAGGAGAACACAUUUAAAAUUAACAGUGAAGCUAAACUUCAUAACUAUCAAAUGUUGAACUAAACAAAAACAAUCAAAUUUGAACUUAGAGGUUUAAAAAGGAAGUGGAGGGAAGACAAAAUUUCCAUUUCCUUCUAAAAUUUGAUUAUCUAAAACUAAUUUGUCCAAAAGUUUGUUAAUAAUUUAUAAAUACUGCAAAAUAAGAAUUUUGAAAUAUUAAAAUUGCGAAAUGAGUAGCCGUCAGUGAUUGUUAUCCGAAGCACUAUCGAGCAGGUUGAAGAUUCUACCCACUCUUCCCUCCCAGGAGAGGAAAAAAAAAAAAAAAAAAAAAAACUAGUACCCAUAUAAUACAAUCUCAAUUGACUAGCUUAUAGUUUAGCCUAUUUGUGUUUAAUAUAUCAGUAUUUCCCGUUUAAUUGUUAAUACAUUAAAACAUCUGUUAUGUGCAUGUUGAUUCAUUAAUACAUUAGUGCAUUCCUGUUAGAUCAUUAGCACUAACCAUAAUGCCGUAGCAGGAUGCUAGUCUACUUGCCAACGAUCACCCCCUCCGCCCUAGUGAUCUGUCCUGAUACGCUUUAUUGGAUCCUUGACGCUACUCAUGAUUUUAAAAAGCUGAGCUAAUGAAAGGUAUAGAUACAGCACCCACGAGUCUUAAUUGGGACUUUACUCACCCUAGCCUCCACCACGUAGGGAGGAUGCUAGCUUACUUCUUUACAAUACCUAAUUCAACUUUUGAAAAUGAAGGGAAGCAUCUGCAUUUCUCAUUCAUUGUGCUGCAGAUGUAUAUGAGUACAUACACUGUCAGAAACUCAGCUCAAAACUCAGCACUAGGACACACCGAACGAACUCAAGAGGAUACAAUAGUUAGGAAACAUAGCAGGUAAUAAUUAAUGCUUCCUGGAUUACACUGCACAAUUUGAAACGGAUUACUCAGAAAGUUUUCAUUUUAUUAACUGAUAACUUGUUUGAUUUAUAUGGGCUCUCUUUUCACCUCUUUGAUUGAAGAAUUUUGUAAUCCAAUAGCAUUCAAUCAUUUCAUAGAAUGUUCUUUAAGCCCACUAGAAAUUCUUUAAAUUUAACGGAAUUUUGAUGAAAUUUUUUAUAAUAAUUUAGAAAUCAAAAGGGAUACAUAAGACUAAAUCGUAAAAUAAAAAUUUUAAAGUUUAGGUACUCACUUCAUCACAUGCUAAUUAAGGUGGUCCAUACAUUUUUUUACUCCAAAAAGCUUGAGCUUCCAACCGCUAGUACUGUUUAUAAGCGAUCACUUUGAUAAACACAUAUGAUAAGUUCAACUCUACAUUUUUACAUGGAAAAAAAAAAAAAAAAAAAAAAAAAGAAGAGCUUCCAAAUGCUAAUACUGUUCAUAAGCAGCAGACACUUCGAUAUUGAGUUGGUACUAUUACAGAAGAUACAAAAUAAGCACAUGGAAAGUAGAGCAUUACCUUACAAUAACACAAAAAUAAAAAUAAUCACAUAGACAGAGGGCACAGUGAAAAUGACUCUGGUAUCUCACAAGCAAAAGUAAACCUGAAGACUUUUAUAUUUCACCAAGAGCUUUCUGUAUGUCUUUCUGCAAAGAUAAGUGAAAUAAGAACAUAAACAAACAUAAAAGUCCGAACAAAGCAGAAUUUCCAAAAGGAGAGGAAAGAAAGGGUAAAUUGAACCAUUAGCUCCUGGACAUUUACAAAAGUUUCACUUUGACCCAUAUUCUUUUAAAUUGAAUUUAGAGCCGCCCAAACUUCAAUAAAUGUACUAAGUUGGCGCAAUCCAUCUGACGUUGAGUUGACUGAAAGAUGAUAUGAUUAGAAACAUCGGAAAAAUUUGUGCCGAAAGGUUUAAAACUACAAAGGUUUUCUGCUCUUAACGGCAGCUAACAAAAUGGCCCCAUCUUUUAAAACAAUAUGUGCUAAUUUGCCUUUUGGUAGUGCAUACUUUGGUUCAACAAAACAUUUACCGUUAGACUGAUAAAUGGAAGAUGAGGAAUGGGCCAAUUUGAUAGCCAUGAAAGUUCGGAGGCAAUAAGUUUACUUCAAAACAGAAGGGGAGAAAGUGGAAACUUUCACAAAGUUUGUAGGCUAGCAGAGCAAUCUACCCAGAAGAAAAAAAGGUAGAGAUAUGAACCUCGAUAGACAAUGGGGGUGUUGAUGUCCCGUAUCUGGCGAUAACUUUUCCGUCCUUAUCAACAAGAAAUUUAGUGAAGUUCCACUUAAUCCUCGAUCCAAAGAGACCAGAUUUGCUUGCCUUCAAAAAUUUAUAAACAGGUACAGCAUCCGGACCAUUUACUCGAACCUGCGCAUGGUAAGGGAUAAAAUUUAACAGAACGUAAAGCUAGCAUAGCUGAAAUGAAAGAAUUAACAGAGUGGAAACACUACGGAAGUUUAUUGAUGGCUCUGACAUACAAUUCCAUGCACAUUGCCUGUUUAUUUACAUGUAAAUUAAAGUAUUUCUAACCAAAAAAAAAAAAAAACCAAUAUAGCAGCAUGAACAGCAGUCCUGCACCAAAUGUCCCAUAUGUUUUGUCUACCGACCAAGUUUGGUGCAUUAAUAAUACUACCAAACGGGAUAACAGAUGUGUAAGCAUAGACGUACCGGUAAACAUGCUAUUUGCAAGUUAAUGCACAUAAAAAAAAUACCAUGCAGUGGAACCUAAACUUAAGAUUUGUAUCACAUGACCACAAGGUUCAUAUCUCCCUACCAAAAUUUGUAAGUUUGUGGAGAGCCAUUACGCCUAAAGGGUAAAACAAUUCUCCAAAAUUCAUUUUGCACAGUGAUAUUUCUCAGCUGCAUUCUUGCGUAUGAACUCAUAUUCUGGUUUCAAGUCUUGAUGGGAUACAACAAAUCCGAGUAGUAUGGAAGUCUUAGCUUCAUCAUUUUGUAAGGGCCAAUCUAUGGUUACAACUAACGACCAGAACCUUCUUACAUAGAUCGCUACCAUGCAACCAGGUGUUACAAGUUUGACCCACAGAAGAAAAACAAGAAAAAUGGAAAAAAAUGAAACUUCCAAUAAUGAGCUAAUGCUGUGUUAUCUUGUCAUCUAUAAAGCUGACAUGGCAGGAGCAUGAAGAAUAGAAACUCUUGCCAGUUAAGCAACCAAAAAAAACAUAAGAUAGAAUGCCAAUUUACAUCACUAAUUUCUGAACCAAAUUGCGCAAUAAAGUAUGUUAUGAAUCUUAUGAUUUAAAGUGCCAGACCUACCCAUUGAACAUCACAAUACCAAAUCUAGGUUAGUUUAUCCCCAUCAGAGUUCUGCGUUACAACUAUGAAUAUGAACAACACAAAAUGAUGCAGUAUCGACUUCCACACUAUGAAAUUCCAUUACAGGCUUCCGUACGAACCCCUUUACCAUUGUAUAUUUUUCUUCUCAUGCUCCAAAUUUGGAACAUGCAUGUUCCUAGAUGGCCCACUAUACAAAGGAGAUGUUCAAAUUUUUCCGAACCUCAAGAACAACUCUUGAACAUCCGGUAUGCUUUUUCUUCCCUAUUUGAGAACCAAAGUUAUCUUUCCGUUUUCUCUUUUUCAGUUUUCCUCUAAAGGGAAAAGACAAAAGCGACAAUAGCUUUCCUUACAGCCAUUCAAACAGGAUUUUUCAUUGUUACCAUUUCUAAUCAUAUUUGAUCACAUUGAGAAUCAAAGUUAUUAACUUUUUGUACAUUUAUUUAGUUGCUCGGAUCAACACCAUGAGUUUGAUACCGGCAAUAUUUUGACUGCGUGGGUGAAGAAAGAAUGCAUCAAAUCAAAUAUACGUCAACAGGAAGUGAGCAAAUUUUAUUGUCUUACAUGUAAAGAAUAUAAUUAAUACAUGUUUGCAUUAGUUUUAUGACUUAAAUCAGGAGAUUUGUAUAGGAUUUAACUCCGCCACUCUAUGACAAAUCAUGAGUCUAAAUCUCAAGGUUGUCCAAAUCCCUAACAAAAACUGAAAGUUCUCAAUGAGAUAUCAAAUCACCACCCUGAUACAACCAAGGUUUUAAGUGCCCGUCGGCACGGGCCGUAUCCACCGUGCCGUACCGUGCCAACAAGAUACCGGCACGAUACAGACCCCGUGCCGAUGGCACCGCUCAAAACCCUCUAUUUUUUAAAUUAGUAAGUGAUUUUCUCAAUAAAGUUCAAAAGAUGUGAUAAAAAGACAUAAUAAAUAGUUAGAAUAUUUGUUGCUAAAGAAAAUAAAUAUUUCAUGCUAUUAUGUGUCGGCACACAAAAAAUUUUUUGACCAGCACGCAUCGACACGGCUCGGCACCGUGCCAUACCGUGCCGGCAAGUUUCCGGCACGACCCCGUGCCACGGCACUUAAAUCCUUGGUUCAUACAACACCUUCUCUUUGUAUCAAAAAUUUUAGGAUAGCUGAUUUGCAUUAAAAAUCACAAGAAUCUCACAGAAUACUGAAUACUUUCUCAUGAUCUUCUCAAUAACAAACAUUAAACGAGUUUAUAAAGCGAAAAACAGUUGGCGUCCUCCAUUAAGAGAAAUAAAAUUAAGUCCACUAUGUUAGACUGAUAGGAGCGAACUAAUGAAAAUUCUGACAAAACAAGUUGGUAUUGUUUAAACAUUUCAAAACUCUAAAAAGAAAGAAAACGAUAUAGUCAAAAAGGACUAACGGAAGAGCCAAAUGUAUUUUCCUUUCUAAGAAUGCAUCAACUACUGUUUUGGAGGACAAAAACAUCAGAUGUUGGAUUUCAAAUUUCAUCUAAAAACAGCUAUUCAGGAAAAUAAACUACAGAGCUGUUGCCUUACACUUCUUUCUUCAUUUCAGAAUUUCUUAUUUGGUGUUACACAGACAAAGAUAAACAAAGACAAAUUUCAUACCUUCUGGAAAAUCGGAUACUCAGCCUUAAAUCUUGUGCAAGCGAACUCUUUGAUCUCCUGGCUCGUACCAGGCUCCUGAUGCAGGAACUGAUUGCAUGGAAAUGCCAAAAUCUCAAAAUCUGAUUAUUUAGAAACAAAAUUAAUUAGCUUCCAUCAAGUUGUUAGAGUGAGACAAUAAAUGAAGCAGCAUAAAAUAUGACUCAGCAGAGCAGGAAAAAGAAGAAUCUAAUAUUCAAAAUAAAUAAAUCCAUGAACUUCUUUACAAAACAAUAACCUCAAUAGUAGCUGGGAAAAGAAACAUAUCAGCAUGUUCUCAUUUUAAAAACAGAGAGCAUAUUCAGGCUAGCAUCUAGUCACGGAAAAUACUCAAGGUGUAAUUUCUCUUGCUCUCGGUGCAAUUGUUAAGCCUCUUCGUCUCCUUGAAGAGGCGGCAAAUGCAUAGGGGCCAUUGGACGAAGAGUAAUGAGUCUGAAUUGUCUUGCCCCAUAGGAGGGAGAAUAAUGGGGCAGAAUUGUAGCCAUACUUUAGCAAUAGUCCACAUGAGUUGAUCCCAAGGUAUGAUAAUCACAGGACUUACUUUCAAGAAACAAAUAUUACCAAAGAAGUUAUCAUUCGGAACAGUAUUUUUUGAUAAAUAAGAACAACCCACCCCCCACCCCCAGGCGACAGAAAGAAAAAAGAAAAAAAAAAAAGAAGAGCAUUUACUGACUUGAGAGACAAAAUAUUGCACUCGGGAGAUCCGUGCUGAGAGAAGUAGUUAGCAUCAACCCCACUAGCUGCAAUUAUUGUAUCACAGAGGAAGGUAAAAUGCAUAUUUUUUAAAAAAUUUUCGGAGUUUUGUGCGCAACGUGAUAUGUCCAAUGGGGCAAAUGCAAGAAGCGAUAAAUCAAUUUGAAUAAAAAAGGCAGAAUCCUGAUAACUAUUUCUCAAAUAGAAGAUAGAUUACCAACUAAAUACCAAAUUCUACAUUAUCUUGCAGUAGUAAUUGGAUUGGGAAAGCAAUCCAAAGAAUGGUCACUAUAUUUACAAGAAACCUUCAAACACAAUCAUAAAAGGAAUUUGGAAUCCUAUAAAUAGCAGAAAACAGAUACCAACCUUUGUUCUUGUACUUGCUGUAGAGUUCUGUCAACUGCGUGUAGUUGCUAUCUGUGAAACCACUGUUACACAAUUCAUUUUAAGGAGAAGAAGCGAAAAAAAUUAGGAGGUAAAUAGGGAAAGAUAUGCUGGACUUUCUAAUGUUUGGUCCUAGCCACCUAACUUUAAGAACUUACCCACCAAAAAAAAAAAAAGAACUUAAAAUCUUUUCAAUCAGCCACCUGAUUCCAAAUUUGAUAAAUUUCUCUUAAUAAUUAUGAGUUACAUACAAAGCAAAUAACUCAAAUACCUAGAGGUGAAAACGGUCGAAUAUGGUCGGAUUUUUGACAAAACCAUAUCCGCAUCCAUAUUUUCCAAAUUCGAUGCGGAUAUGUCGAACGCUAAAUUUUCAUUACCAUAUCCGCUAAAAAAGGAUUCGGAUUCAGAUGAGACUCGGAUAUAUAUUCGGAUAUUGUUAGGAUAAUAACAUAUACUGAUAUGAAUAUAUAAAUAUAAAGUAGAAUUAGCGCGAAUAAAACACAUAAUGCAAUUAAAAGUUCACAUUUGGUGUUCAAACUUCGUAUACCUAUAUUUUAUUCAUUAAGAUUUAAUAUUUAACAAACAUAAAUACAACUUUAACCUAAAGCUCAUAAUAAAAUAAACGAAGAACACAAUAAAAAAAUCACUUUAUCCUCCUACAAUAUAUAUUAAUUAAUAUCCCUCUUAUCUCCUACAGGUGAGAACGGUCGAAUACGGUCGAAUUUUUUAUGAAACCAUACUUUGCAUCCAUAUCAUUUUCUUCUUCUUUCUUUUUUUUGGAUAUGAUCUGGGAUAUGAACAAUUGAACAUGUGUUGAAUCCUAAAAUAUUUAGGUCCAUAUUCGCAUCCUAUCUACGGAGUUUAUCCUAACCACCCUCACCCCUACAAAUACCCCUACAUUUAUCUUGGUAUUCAAAAAUAAUAAGAGUAAAUAUAAACUUUUCAAAGGUGAAAUCACUUGUCACAAGUCAUAAUUAAUAACAGAAAUUUUUAAUUAAAAAAAAAGUUUACUUUUUAAACUAAAGAGUGAUCAAGUGGUAACCGAACCAAAUUCCCAAAUUAAAGAGAAGAGAGUAUUACCAUUUGGAAGCAACAUUUACAACGAGAAGAACCUUCCCCUUGUAAACCCCCAAAUCAACCUCCUUGCCGCUGCUAUCCUGCAACAACAACAACAAAACAAAAAAAGCACACAAUCCUUAAUUAUUAUUAUCAUUAUUAUUAUUAUUAUUAUUCAAAAUAACUUAACCUAUUUAAUCCAACAAAAAGAAACAAAAAUAUAUAUAUAUAUACAAAAAGAAAAAGGAAAAAUAAGAAAGAAGGAAAGACGGGUGAAAUUACUUUGACUGUGAAUUGAUGGAUGGAAGUCUCCUUGGGCGACGACUGCGAGGCUCCCAUCUCUCCACUUCCUCUGAUUUUCUCCCUUGCUUACUUUCCCUCUCUCUCUCUCUUCCGAUCGAGCUGUCGCUCGAAAGGGGCACGUUCUACUGCCCCGGUAUAUACGGCCCAGGAGGGGCUGAUGCGGUGUGAUCCAGCGUAUCAUUGCGCGACAGUUUUAAUAUACAUAUACUAUUCUACGCAAUCGGAUCCAACGGAUUCAAAGUGAUUUUUUUAGUUUUUUUUUUUUUUUUUUUUUUUUUCUCCGACCCUCCUCCAUUAUCUCCGCGACCUUUUUCGACAGCAGCAAGGCGGCCCGCCUUCUCUUCCUCUGCUUUUUUUUUAAUUUUUUUUUUCUCUCCAACUUCCCUCCAUUGUCUUCGCAGUCUUCUGCGAAGGUAACGACGACAGCGCCGCCUCCUCUUCUGAUACCAGUGCCGGAGGAGAAGGAUUCAAAGCGAGUAUGGAUAAGAGCGGAACGAACAGAGGCGAUGAAGUCGUGGCCGGGACAGUGCUCGCUGUUGCUCGUGAGGGUGAGAAUGAAAAUGUGCCCACGCUUCUCUAAAAAGCGCUUCGAGCAAGGGCAGUGACUGCCAUAGAGGGCGAGGGAGAGGUUGUGACAACAAAAAAAAUUAUAGAGAAGAGAAAAAUCAUAAUAAUUAAAGAUAAAAAUAAAAAAAUAUUUUAUUUAUAAGAAAAACUAAAAAUUAUAUAAGAAGGAAGAAAAAGAUGAAAUUACACUAUUAAAAUAAAGUUACAUUAUUUUAAAAAAAUUUUGCACUGUUUUAUAUAAAAGUUGCACUUUUUGAGACAAAAAUUAUAUUCUUUGAUAUGAGAGUUACACUCUUUAGGCAAAAAUUAUACUCUUUUGAUAAAAUUUACAUUAAUUUUCUUUCUUUUCCUCUUCUUUCUCAUCCUCCUUCCCAUCUGCUUUCUUGUACUUUUUAUAUGCCAAUCCUGGGUUGGUAACGUGCGCGGUGGAGGCGGAGAAGAGCACGAUGACACUAGAGAAGAGGUUGGCGGAGGCAGAGGUAGUGGCGGCGGCCCGCCUCGGCUCCAUCCUGCAGGGGGUGUGCAGCUACGGGCGAGGACUCCCCUCCUCACUUCUGUCCCCAUCAAUGCCACCACCUCGCCUCCACACUCCACCGCUUCGCCACUACCUCGCCUUCACGAGUCAAUAGGGGCGGAAGCGAAGCGGGAGGUGCGCGGGCGAGGGUAAGAAGUGCCGGCGGGACGUGUGCCGUGCUCUUUCCCGUGCACCCCUUGCAAGAGAGAGACAAGGCGGGGAGUCCUUGCCCAUGUCUGCGCACCCACCGCCCGCGCACCUCUUACGGGGCGAAGGCAUUGCAGGCCACCGCCACCUCUGUCUUCGCCGCUCUAUUCUUUGACGUCACUGUGCUCUUCUCCGCCUUCACUGUGCACGUCGUCGGCCCAGAAUGGACGUAUAAAAAGUACGAGAAAGCGGAGGGGAAGGAAGAGAAGGAAGAAGAGGAAGAGAAAAAGAAAUUGUGUAAAUUUUACUCAAAGAGUGCAAUUUUUGUCUAAAGAGUGUAACUCUUAUCUCAAAUAGUAUUAAUUUUGUCUCAAAGAGUACAACUAUUAUAUAAAACAGUGCAAUUUUUUUUUAAAAUAAUGUAAUUUUAUUUUAACUGUGCAAUUUCAUCUUCUUCUUUCUUCUUCUAUGAUUUUUGGUCUUUCCAGUAGGAAAAAAAAAAAAAAUUUAUUUUUAUCUUUUAUCAUUCUAAUUUUUUUUUUCCCUCUACAACUAUUUUUAUUAUCACAGCCUCUCCCUCGCCCUCUAUCGCAGCCACCGCCCUUGCUAGAAGCGCUCUUUGGAGAAACACGGACAUGUUUUCAUUCUUACCCUCACGAGCAAUAGCGAGCACUAUCUCGGCCACGUACGGCUUCAUCGCCUCCGUUCGUUCCGCUCUCGUCUGCACUCACUUUGAAUUCUUCUCUUCCGGCACCGGCAUCGAAGAGGAGGCGGCGCCGCCGUUGUUACCAUUGCAAAGACCGCAGAGGUGACGGAGUAGAGUCGGAGUGAAAAAAAGAACGUAAAAGAAAGAAGUGGAGGAAGAGAAGGCGAGCAGCCCUGUUGCCGUCGAGAAAGGUGGCGGAGGUGGUGGAGGAGGGUCGGAGAGAAAAGAAAAAAACGAAAAAAGAAGAGAGACAAAAGAGAAUAAGGGUAUUUUGGUUAGUGUUCUGAAAAUUCAGCCCGAAUUUGCAAAAUUGAAAAACAUGGCCCNAAAUUUUGAUAGAAAAUUCUUUAUACCAUAUAAAACAAGAUCAAUAACUUUGAUCUAAAAUUUUAGUGUCAUAUCAUCAUAUUUUGUAAGAUUUUUAUUUUCAGCCGUUGAUUUUAAGCCACUUUGAUCACUAGGCAAAUGAUAUCAAAAAUUGCAAAAUUUAUUUUCUAGAUAUUUCAAAUACUCUAGAUCAAGUAUAACGGAGCCGAUCGUCGAUUCGAAAGUCCGAACAUCGAAAACAAAGUGAAAGCACGGAGCCCGGGCUCCCAUAAGCAUCCUAAUCGCACUAUAUAUAUAUAUAUAUAUAUAUAUAUAUAUAUAUAUAUAAUACUAUUAAUAGUACCAAUCACUUGCUAUUAGGUUUUCGGCCUUUGGAUGAAGAGAUGUGCGGCUAGAAUGAUAGUGAUCCCCUAGGGUUGAGUGAGUGGUUUGUUAAAUAAUAUAAUCUAACGGCACAAAAUUCGAUAACACCAAAUAUUUAGUAUAUCGAAAAUAUAGUAGCCGGACUCUCUCUCUCUCUCUCUAUAUAUAUAUAGUUCGGCUACCAUACUAUACAUACUAUCCAUAGUACUAAGCGCUUUGUACUAUUGAGUUUUCUGCCGUUAGAUCUACCUAUAUAUAUAGAGUCCGGCUAUUAUACUAUUGAUAGUACCAAACAUUUAAUGCUAUCAAGUUUUCUACUGUUAGAUCUAUCCCUUUGGCCAUUUUCAUUCGUUAGAUCAUUCUAUUCAACUAGUCACCCACUCAACCCUAGAGGGCUACCAUCAUCCUGACCGCACAUCCCUUCAUCCAAGGGCCAAAACCCUAAUAACAAGCAGUUUGUACUAUUAAUAGUAUAGUAACCCAAUUCUAUAUAUAUAGGCUCGGCUACCAUACUCUUAUAAAUAUAGACUCUUUUGUACUUAUAAAUUUUCAGCCGUUGAUGUGCGAUUAGAAUGAUAGUGGUCCCCUAAGAUUGAGUGGGUGGUUCGUUGAAUAGUAAGAUUUAAUAGAUGGAAAUGGAGAAAAGAAUAGAUCUAACUUAUGAGUAUAAAGAAGUUUAUACUCAUAAAAAUAUAUAUAGUAGCCAAACACUCUCUCUCUCUCUCCCUAUAUAUAUAUAUAUAUAUAUAUAAUAUAUAUUUUAAUUAUAUAAAAUAAUAUAUAUUAUAUUUUAAAAAUAUAUAUAUAUAUAAUUUAGAUUAUUGCGCCCACAAAAACAAACCAGUAAAAUUCUACUCUAAUUGCUCUCUUUCUCUCUUUUUCACUUCCUCACAGAGACGCUUUUUCUAAUUUUUUUAGUAUUAUAAUAUCGUAUUUCAUGUCUUCAUUUUGUAUGUUAAACUAUUAGAUAUUUUUUAUAUCAAAUUUUAACUAAUGUUUUAUAAAAAUUAAAUUAUAGAUUGCACGAUGUUAAGAAUUUCAAACAGCUCGUUUAGGGCUCGAGCUCGCUCGACUCGAAGUUAGGCUCGCUCAAGCUCGGCUCGAAUUAAUUUCAAACCAAGCUUGAGCCUAAAUUUAAGCUCGAAAUUAAUUUCAAGCCAAGCUUGAGCUGAGGUAAGCUCGCUCGAGCUCGGCUCGUGUCCCCCCUAAUAAUAGAUUGCAUUACGGGUCGGAUUGGUGGAACCAGUCGGUCUGAUUCGAUUUUUAAAUUAUUAAUUUUAUUUAAUAUUAGAACGAAAAAAAUAGAAAAAAUUAAUUCUUUAUACCUUUAAUGACUAUUUUUAAUUUUUAGUGGGAAAACUUCAAAAACCCCUCCUGUGGUUUCGCACUUUCUCACUUUAGUACCCUGUGGUUUAAAAUGUAUCAAUUUGUCCCCCUGUGGUUUUGUUUUUAUCUUUACUAUAGCUUUUUUCUUAAUAUUUCGUUAAAUUAUAUACAAAAAACUUCAGAUACCCAUCUAGAUUUACCGAAUAUUUACUUUAAUACCCUUUAAUUUUAGUUUUGUCACUAAUUUAAGAAAAAAAAAUAAAAUUGAUAAAAAAAAGAGAAAAACAAAACCACAGGAGAGCAAAUUGAUACACUUUAAACCACAUAGUACUAAAGUGAGAAAGUGCGAAACCACAGGGGGUUUUUUUUGAAGUUAUUCCUAAAUUAAAUGAACACUAAUAUUCACGUACUAUUAGAAAGUUUUGUAUUUGCUUUUUGUUUCGAAUAUAUAAAAACACGUAAAACUGAUCUCAAUUAUUGCCCAUUUGAAUUUAGCUAUCUAAGUUCUAAAAUUUUCGAUUUUAUCAUCUGAUUUUUUUUAUUUAUUUGAUUUGAGCCAAUUGGUGACUCUUCAAUUUUAAAAUUUAAAUACGGUCGUUUAUCUCUACGGAUUUAAUUAGUAUAUUUUACAUAAUUAAAGUAACUGUAACUUAUAUAAAAGCAAGCACAUUAGUUUAAAUUCUAUAUCCGGUGAGCCGUCAAAUUAAUUAAAUUAAAUAAAUUAAAAGAUUAUGUAUUAAAAUCAAAAUUUCGAAAAGUUGAGUAGCCGAAUCAAAAUGCUUAAUAGUUUACCAUUCGAAUAUAUCCUUAUGUUUUCAGCUAAGUUCAUUUUCGUAUGAUUCAUUUCUUAAAAACAGAAGCAAAACAGCUAGCACACUACUUUUCUCUCAAAAAUAUUUCUUUCUAGUCCUUAGGUUAGUUCCAAACUUUGACAAACUUUCAGGCUAAAAUAGUAUGAAUAUGAGACCAAUUGACCAAUGGGCAAAUGAUACUGCAAAAUCAUAAAUUUCGAUUUAUAUAAGAUUCAAAUAGUAUUAAUUAUAUUUUAGUGCCGAUCGUUCAAUUUCGGUGUGUUCUGCCUAAACUAAUAGAGUAAGUAAACAAUCUCAUUUAAUUCUAAAAGCAUUUUAACUCGUAUUUGAAUCAGGCCAACUGGAUCUUGCCGUACAAAAAAAAUGUAAGGGUGACAUCGAAGACAGCAUAACAUGAUUGAGAACAUGACAAAAGGAAAUAUUAUUUGCUUUACAUGUGGCCUUUGUGUGUGAGUUGUGUGUGGGGGUGUUGCCACUUGCCAGUCAAAUUGGAUUUAGAUUAGGUAAAGCACAACCCUAAACUGAUCCUGUUUGGCAACCUAACUUUCCAAUUAAGCGUGGUCAAAGGUAACCAAUUUUAUCCUUCUAGAAUGUCCUGCUUAAGGCUUACAUUUGUGGCUCCAAAAGAUCUGAAUAUUACAAAUUUAAAUUUGGGCAAAAAUAUAGCCUUAAUUACACUCUGCUAUACUUGUGUUUUUCCCCCCCCUCAAAAACACCAUUAUAUUAUUACUACUAUUAUUAUUAUUAUUAUUAUUCAAAUCCACUAUUAAUUGUACUAGUGUAGGCCCCCGCUUCGCGGCGGGAAAUUUAUACAAUUUAUUUAAAAUUAAAAAUUUUUAACACCUAUUUGUUUAAAUCCUAAAAUUUGAAAUUAACAUUUUGAACAUUUAAAUUUUAAAAAUGCAUUUUAUCUUAAUUCAAUUUGUAUAUUUUGAAUAUAUUAUUUUAGUUAGAGUUUUGUUGAUUCCUAAUCUUUCCAAUUCUAAACUUUUAUAUGCAUCGAAUAACUCGCUGUAAUUUUAAAUUUUGAGGAAUUCAGUAAGGUAAUUUGACAUUCCAUGAUAUAUUUAGUAAAUUAAUAUAUAUAAUUUUUAAAAUUUUAAAUUUUAUAAUUUGAAUAUAAAAUUUAAAAUCUACAAUUCAGAAACUAAAAUGUAAAAUUUAAAACAGGAAAAUUUUAAAAUUUAGUUUUAGUAAUUAAGGAAAAAUAUACAAUUUUAAAUUUUAAGUUUUAAAUUUUAAAUUUCAAAAUCUAAUAUUUUAAAUAUUAAAUUAUAAAUUAAAUUAAAAAAAUUCAAUUGUUAAAUUUUAAAUGGUGAAAUUUCAAUUUCAAAUGUUAAAAUUUAAAAUUUAAGCUUCGACAUUUUAUAGUAACCGCAAUUUUGCAAAAGGUAGAACUAAAAAUCCAUCAAAAACUAAUAGUAAGAACGAAACAUCAAUAGUUGCAUAACAACAAUAUGAUAUAUAUAUCAGAAGUACUUGAUUCAGUGAUACCUUGUAAUAUGAAAUUAACCAGCGAAUCGAUCUACAUGAAGAAGUCCUAAUUUAUAUCAUAAAACUUGAAUAGAACUAUAAUAAGAAUUGUUUUAGAUAUUUGUACAUAAUUUAGAUGGAUUACAAGCAUUUACUUACAGAUUCACCACUUGCAUUCAUAAAAGUUUGAGGUUUGACAAGCAUGACGGGAGAAUCACCAAAACGGCCUGCAUAAAAAUCGCAAAAAUUUUAAAUGUAUUUUUCCAAAAAAAUUAAAAUGUAAAAUUGAGUGGACAAUUCAAAUAUAAAACUAAAUUUUGAUUUGAUUCAAAUUUAAACUUAUAAUCAAUUUAAAAUUUUAAUUUAUAUAUCAAAUUUAGAAUGCUUGAUUGAAUUUAUAUUUUAAUUCAAUUUCUAAUUCAAAAUCUAUAAUUACAAAUUAAAUAUCUAAAUUUAAAUACCUUAAAUUAAAGUCAAAAUUAAAUUAAAAUUAAAAAAAACUCUAAAAUCCUCUUCUCUAUAUGUAAAGAGAAGAUGUAUUUCUUUCUAUCUAGUAUUAUUUUUCUCUCACAGUAUUAUUAAACUGUUUUUUUUGGUUGCCAACCUCUACAUUACUAUUAAUAAAUCUAUUAUUUCUGAUAAAUAUAAACCUUUAUUAAGAGAUACUGCAUAAAUAGUAGAAAAAUAAAAAAUAAAUUUUCAUGAUAAACUUAUUGAAGUUUCUAACAAGUUAUUUUUAAUUUUUUUGAAAUGAGUAGAAUAUAUGCUCUGCCAUUUUUAACUAAACUUUUUAACAAUUUUUAUAUAAAAUUAUGGUUUUGUUGCUAUAAUGUAGGGAUUGAAAAAAAAAAUAGUAAGUGGUGUCUUUUUUGAGGGAGAAAAAAAAAAAGUACACUACAAAGUAAACAGACUAUCUAUAACUAUAUAUUAUUCCUCAAUAACUGCACACGUGUCGGGAGUUAAGGCCGCGGGCGCGGGCGCGGGGCGCGGGCGACCGCGGGCGCUAGCGUGUCAUGCCCCGGGGUCCCUUUUAGUUUGAAACACAGCGGAAAAGCAUCUAAAUUUUAUUUUAAAAACCUGACCCCAGGGUAUGCCAGAUCCGCCACGAAUACAGAAAAUUCACUGUUCACACGGGCACAGUCUCCCCUGUAUUUGCACGGCGUCGUACAAGUACAACAGUACAAACAGGAUACAACCACAACUAAAUGAAUAUAGAGAUAACUAUACAUUCAUACAUUCACCAUUCACAUCACAGAUUUACAUUCAAUGUCUAACAUAAAUCCACAAAAAGCCUUUUGAAAUCUGUUCCCUUCACGGAAAUUUUUAUUUUUUAAAAACGCCACCACGAGGGGUAGAAAACCUUUUGUUUACGAAAACCAUGAAUCUUUUUUAUUACUUUUACAAAGCCAAAUCCAAAUAUAAUAAUUAACUGAAAUACCAAAAACUGAACAAUGAUAUGUCUAAGUUAUACCAACAGAAAUAAAAAGGAUGACGACUAAACCGAACAAACCGGGUCGGAAGCUCUAACGACCGCUACGAACGUGUCUCACAUCUCGUCUCACCCUCACCGCCCGCAAUACCUAAAAAAUGGUAGCGGAGGUGAGAAUAUAUAAACAUGUCUCCCCACCCAGUGGGUGCCGCAAGCCGAAGAAGGCGAGGAGUACUCACCAGAUCAGGAAGAGAUAAAUAACAUGGGUAAGUGAAAUACAGUAGCAACGAUAAUGAACGAAUGAGAUAUAUAAAUGAAAGAACAACUACCGCUACUGUAACGAAGAAUUGAAAGCAUAUAAGGAUAUCGAAACUAUAGUAGCAAGACAACUGUAAAGAAGACUGUAAGUAUACAUGCAACAACCAUUACUAUAGCUAUAUGCGUCAACCGGACGAUAAGUCCAAAUAUACCCAAUCUGAAAACUUGGCCCUGUUGGUCCGCACGGCAGACCUCAAGCCUAUGCCACUGUCACUCUACUUGUGUAUAACCCAAGGUAGCCUAUGGGCUCACAUCCUGCAUAUAACCCAAGGUAGCCUAUGGGCUCACGGGUUGGCACACCCAACCACUUUUCCGGAAAAGAACACCCUCUUGCGGUGGAUCAGACCGCUGGUGUUCGUGAAAUGCGUACGAGUCUCGGGCGAUCAAUACUGAUAUACUCAAAAGCCAACCGCCGGCAAUCAGCCGACAAUCACUGCCUCUUGGGGCAAACCGACCAAUAGGUCAUCAAACUGUAAGGAAGCACUAGAACCGACCACUCAGGUCAACUAGGAUGGAACAACUGAACAUCGUCUCCAAUGUAUGCAAGUACUACUCAAUGUCAACUAACUGUAUACUCAAGAACCGACCAAUAGGUCACACGAAUGUCACAUCAUGUAUCACUGAAGUCCAGAACUACCGUCAGCCACUAGCUGACAAUCCAACCCCUCAGGGUACACCGACCUCAACGAUCAUUGAACGACAGAAAUCAAGAAACCGACUGAAUAGGUCACAGAUACAAGAUACAAGAACUGACCAAUCAGGUCACUGAUACGAAGUACGAGAACCGACCAACCAGAUCACUGAUAUGAAGUACGAGAACCGACCAACCAGGUCACUGAUAUGAAGUACGAGAACCGACCAACCAGGUCACUGAUAUCACAUACAAGUAAACUACUCUACUCCUACACAUGGUACUAAGUAUGGAAACAUCUGAGUAGAGUAUAACCAAAACAACAUGGGUGCUAGGCUCAACACUAUAUAUGAAGAUAUAUAUAUGCCAAAUAACAAUGAGAGUAAGGGUAAGAAACCAUCACCGAGCGUGCACCACUGUACUGACUUCGGAUCGAAGUACCCACCUGUACGAAUGUCGCGCCUGUCUCCUGACUGCGAAAGAAAGUCAAUCAGACCUAAGGAAGGUCCACCGGGUUAGUGUCUAACCCACAACUAAUAACCACUAAAUCCACAACCCACAAACAAACCCACGGAGAUUGGUUUCCCAAACCGAUCGCCGUAAUACGUCGGAAGUCCCGUAAUCGCACGGGGACUCCGCCGGGACCCACGAACUGUCCCGGAACAUACCAACUAGAGCUACGAGUCACCCGCUGCCACUAAAUAUAAAUAAUCGUGCAUCAUGGUAGCGAACACAACUCCUCACGUCAAACAAUUAUCGUCAGAUAAUUGUUUCGAUCCGGGUUCCUGGAAGUGUCUAAUUCGACGCCGGAACCCACCGUCGCUUACCCGUUAUUUUCGAACCCUCGAAACGAUGCGGGUGACCAGCCAACAAGGCUCAGCGACUACACCAUAGCUCACGAGGCACCGUCAGAAUAAUUUCGAUCUGAAAACGCGUUCCGUCGGCGGAUUUUGCCGACGAACGCACCGAAAGUCAAUUUCCGGUCUUCGCAAAGGCUUGGGGCCUUGGACAAUCAGUCCAGAGGUCACCCAUUGCCUGUACACGCUGCCCACAGCGACCACGACAAACAAAAUUGCAUAAAAGCCCUCCCGAUUACCUGAAAUCACAUUAUUUUAUGUGAUUUCGGCGCUUUUAUGGUCCGUCUACACAAACUAGAAGUCAUUCAGCCAAACCGAGACACCUACUGACAGGUCUCGGUGUGCCGGAGGCCGUGCUCACCUUUCAGAGCACUGCCGGCCACUGUGGCACGCGCACGAGCGAUGCGAAAAUCAGUGAAACAGCGCGCACAGCGCUAAGGUCGCGUCUAAUACACAAACCAGGGCAUCUUUAACCCUGCCGGAGGUGAACACGAUGUUCAGCACGAGUCGUAGAUCAUCGUGCUCACUUCCCGAGGUGAAGGAGACUUAUCGGAUCACCGGAAAGGUGACCGGAAACGUAAGACUAUGUGCUGGAACAUAAAAAUAGCAUACCAGAGUCAGGGAGAGCUAGGGUUGGUCGCCGGCGGCCGGACGGCUGGCGGUACGGCCAGGGAAGGGUGCGGCUGGUCAGUGUGGUCCGGGGAACCUGCUGGCCGGCGGCGGGAGGCGGCCGGUGGCACGGCGGCUGCGAUCCAAUCGGCCAAGCUGCUCUCGGGUUCAAGGGCGUCGGCGAUAAGGCGGCGGCCGGAAGAGCCCGGGAUUGCGACGAUCCGUCGCCGGAGGUCGAGGAGGAGGUGGCGCGCACGGCGCAUGGCGGCGGGGGCGCACGGUGGCGGUGUUGGCUCCGCCUUGACCCGCACCAGAUCUGGGCGGCCGCAGGAUGGAAGAGCGGCAGCCGGCAGCGCACAGGGAUGGCGGGGAAGCGCGCCGAAAGUCGCCGGAAGGCGGCGCGGCCAAUGGGGAGCGGUGGCCGCACGCGAAACCUGAGCUCGAGCCUGCUCGGUCUGGGUUGACCCGAGCUGGCCGCAGCUCGCUCAGCUGGCUCCAGCGGCGCGUGCUGACGGCAGAAACGUCUGGUAAUGGUGCCGGACGUUGGUCUCGGCUUGAGGAUGGUGGCGCUCAGACUUAGAUGACUCCUUGAGACCCCCAACCACAACAUGGUGGAGUGGUUGGCUGAGAAGGAGGGAGAAGGUGGUACGGAAGGGUUUUUCGGUGGCCGAAGAAGCUCACCGGCGGUCAGGGCGCGCGCGUACGGCAGGGCAGCGAUGAAGCUAACGACGGCUAGGGUUAGCUGGUAGCUGGGUGGACUCGGGUUAGGGUUUCCUUUGUGAAACCCGAGCUAACCUAUAUAUAUAUAGGUGAAAAUUGCUGAAAAGUCCUCCGUAGCCCACUAAUCUCAACUAGGUUCCCUGCCAGUAAGUGAACAUUGCGCAGAAGCCCCUCGACGUUUGAAUUCACGCAAAACGGCACAUAAAAUAUAGGGUCUAUUCACGAUUUAUCUGUUUUGGCAAUUUGACCCCUCAGCGGACUUUUCGCGAUUCCCGAAGAUACGUCAGUCGGAUUUCCGAACGGAUUGCUCCAGCGCGUUCAGCAUGGCUGGGGCAUCAAAUCUAGUAUUUUGUUUCGUCCGAUUUGGUCUUCGAUUGGCGACAAAACCAACCCUCUUUGCUUCCACCACAUAACCACCUAUAUUAAUAUAUGUGAAAUCAAUCAAACCCCUUUUUCCUGACAACCGAGCAUUGGAACCCAAUUCCGUCAGUGCCAUUGGGUUCAGAAUAGUCGAGCCGUUCGAAGCGAGCUAUUGGAGUCCUAUGUUUGGAGUCCAAUACACACCAGAACCCUUCUCUACUCACUGGCUCAUCCGAAAAGUCGGAGUUACUAUUCACUUUAAGUCAUCGGUCCUGGUUGCUUAACUUUUCCAUUCUAUCUCGUUUUCUCCCGAAACUUGACGAGUGCUUAUGUAAUUAAAUUACACACAAAAAUAUCGUCAACAGAGAGUUCAGCUAUACUAUCAAAAUCUCAAUCCUUACAUUAUCCCCCCUUAAAAGAAGUUUCGUCCCCAAAACUUGACCACGUACCCACCGUAAAUGAAUUCAGACAUUACUCUGCCACUGCGAUAUCACCUUGAGUACUGGUCAGUUACAAUAUGCUUGAAUCUGGACGGAUCAACCUCUCAAAGGUGGGGAGAAAAGUAUUGCAGUUCCACUCGGAUUAGACGAGGGAAAACAUACUAACCCAAAAUCUACGGACCAAAACUCACCGGGAUCAACACCAUCCUAUAACCUGCGGACAAAGACAGUCCCGCGACCAGGAUUAUCAAAUCCCAAAUUACCAACUCUGAGAUAAAAAUUCUCCACUCAGAAACUUUAGAUACACUCUACGUUAAUCCGCAUACCAGUAACCGACUCGACUACGUCGAAGGUUCACGUAGAAGAGAUACACCACAAGUCUGGAGUUUAUUUUCAUAGGCCGAAAAGACAUACUCUGACUAACCAACAACGUUAACCUGCUCACCACGAGUGAUUACGAAGCGUUGUUCCGACAACCGAGACAAUAACACUCACUAUAGAGACCACAGUCUCCCACCAGAUAACCACACAACUGCAAAAACCUCCAUCAACGGAAAGUCACAUGCAGUAUUCUACAGUCCUAGGUCCAAGACCUCACUUUCCACCAGACCAAAAGGUCCAAGGCUGACAAUACCAAUUGAGCUGGACAAUUUGUUCGCUUAAUAUUUCAAUCCAACCAACAUACGUCUCAUGCAAGUCCAUUACUUGGUGCACAGGAUCGCCAAUCGCAAUAUGCGAUACUAACCAUCGGUGAUGCCCAACACUUGUCUCUACGAAACCCUGUCGCUGCCGUCCUACAAAGGACCCUAGCGAUCGAUGUUCCCAGUAACACCCAAAUACCUGUCUCAUUGAGACCCAGGCGCACCUGUCACCAAAUAACCGGACAAGCAUACCACUCCAAGGUUUGCACGAUAAGCUAAGUCGCAAACCUUACACGCUAUCACAUACGGUGACAAUCAAAACCAACAACCAGGCUUAAGUCACUCAACAACUGUGAUUCUACCUCCCGGCAAACAGAUCGAGACUACUAACCAACCAAACCUUUUAGCAGUGGGAAGCACAACUAAAGAACUAACGAGCACCUAGACUCAACCAGAGUCGAAACCAUCAUCAGUGACGAUAAACCAACUGCGCAAAACCUACUAGGGAAUAAUCCAAAGCUCACUAUGUGGUUAGAGAUGACCAACACUCAAGAUUUCCCAAGACAAUCUAGAGAAAAAUACCGACCCAAUCCAUGAGUCCCAAACGGGAAGAGGGUAUUUCGUCCCAACUUUCGACAGUAUAUUGUCUGCAGCCAAUGUACUUAUCAAAAGAAAAGCGAAAUACCGAAGAUCUACUACCAACAACAAGUUGGAAGCACGACACGUCGAAGUAUUAAGCCACUUGAUAUCUCUUCACUGAACCAAAAGUUCAUAACCAAAACCGUCAAAACAUCGACUUUGCAAGUCGACAUUCGAAACAAGAUCGACCCAGAACUGACUCUCUGGGAGUCCCAUAGCUUUCAACAUCCGAAAGCUGCUUACGACUAAGCCGCGAACCGUACAAACUGAGGCUUUAGGAAACGGUUUUUCCAACCGAUUUCUGCACCACAUCCGAGCUAUAAUCAGAGCUCCGAGAACUCCGACAAUACAAUGAACCCUACCACAAACCACAGACUAACCCACAACACACCAAUUUGGGUAUUAGGAUAACCGCAUACGAUGUAUGCAUCAAUAGAGAUCUGACACCAAAACUGUGUCAAUCUGAUUCUAAUACAUGUCAAUUUGACGAAUGAACUAGUUAUAGGUCAAAAGGCUCAAACCGCUGAUUUCAUCAGCAAUCAAGGAAGAGAGGUAGGCAUCAAAACCCUACUCCAAGAUCUAAGGAAGAAUCAACAACAUUGCAGUCGCCUAACCGACCGCUACUAUAACCUUGGGCUACACUCUAGUAGCCCCACAGAAGCCGCGACCGUAACUGGUCUUAGUGCCGUCUCCGUAGAGACACUCCCAGUAGCUCUCGUGCCCUCAGUAGGAAGAGUGGCCUGGGCGUCGGCAGUUAAGACACUCGUCUAGGCCCAAUAAUCAUUGGCCCAUCAAGGCCCCACCUGACAGGAAUGGCUACACCUGGGUAACUUCACCCCGCCACUCAAUGUCAUAAGUACACCACCACUACUCCCAACUGAGACACCAGCUUGUGCGAAAGUCGUAGCACACACGGAAAUAACGGUGCACUCGAGUUUACCAAACUCGUCAUGCACACCGAGACACCAGCCCAAACCCCGGACUCAUGUGCCCAUACACCGUAGGUCUUCCUAUGGGUCAACCUAACCAAUGGUUCAGUUUCAUUUACUUUUCAAAACAACCUGUGAAAUGUGUUGUGGUUGUAACUCGGCUCUAACACCACUUUAAUCUGUCACGCCCCGGGGUCCCUUUUAGUUUGAAACAUAGCGGAAAAGCGUCUAAAUUUUUUUUUGAAAACCUGACCCCAGGGUAUGCCAGAUCCGCCACAAAUAUAGAAAAUUCACUGUUCACACGGAUAGAGUCUCCCCUGUAUUUGCACGGCGUCGCACAAGUACAACAAGUAAACCGAAUGCAACCACAACUAAAUGAAUAUAGAGAUAACUAUACAUUCAUACAUUCACCAUUCACAUCACAGAUUUACAUUCAAUGUCUAACAUAAAUCCACAGAAAGCCUUUUGAAACCUGUUCCCUACACGGAAACUUUUAUCUUUUAAAAACGCUACCACGAGAGAUAGAAAACCUUUUGUUUACGAAAACUAUUAAUCCUUUUUAUUACUUUUACAAAGCCAAAUCCAAAUAUAAUAAUUAACUGAAAUACCAAAAACUGAACAAUGAUAUGUCUAAGUUAUACCAACAGAAAUAAAAAGGACGACGACUAAACCGAACAAACCGGGUCGGAAGCUCUAACGACCGCUACGAACGUGUCUCAUGUCUCGUCUCACCCUCACCGCUCGCAAUACCUAAAAAAUAGUAGGGGAGGUGAGAAUAUAUAAACAUAUCUCCCCUUCCAGUGGGUACCGCAAGCCGAAGAAGGCGAGGAGUACUCACCGGGUCAGGAAGAGAUAAAUAAUAUAGGUAAGUGAAAUACAGUAGCAAUGAUAAUGAACGAAUGAGAUAUAUAUAUGAAAGAACAACUACCGCUACUGUAACGAAGAACUGAAAGCAUACAAGGAUAUCAAAACUAUAGUAGCAAGACAACUGUAAAGAAUACUGUAAGUAUACAUGCAACAACCGUUACUAUAACUAUAUGCGCCAACCGGACGAUAAGUCCAAAUAUACCCAAUCUGAAAACUUGGCCCUGUUGGUGCGCACGGCAGACCUCAAGCCUAUGCCACUGCCACUCUACCGUGUAUAACCCAAGGUAGCCUAUGGGCUCACAGCCUGCAUAUAACCCAAGGUAGCCUAUAGGCUCACGGGUUGGCACACCCAACCACUUUUUCGGAAAAGAACACCCUUUUGCGGUGGAUCAGACCGCUGGUGUUCGUGAAAUGCGUACGAGCCUCGGGCGAUCAAUGCUGAUAUGCUCAAAAGCCAAACGUCGGCAACCAACCGACAAUCACUGCCCCUUGGGGCAAACCGACCAAUAGGUCAUCAAACUGUAAGGAAGCAAUAGAACAGACCACUCAGGUCAACUAGGAUGGAACAACUCAACAUCGUCUCCAAUGUAUGCAAGUACUGCUCAAUGUCAACUAACUGUAUACUCAAGAACCGACCAAUAGGUCACACGAAUGUCACAUCAUGUAUCACUGAAGUCCAGAACUACCGUAAGCCACUAGCCGACAAUACAACCCCUCAGGGUACACCGACCUCAACGGUCAUCGAACGACAGAAGUCAAGGAACCGACUGAAUAGGUUACAGAUACAAGAUACAAGAACUGACCAAUCAGGUCACUGAUACAAAGUACGAGAACCGACCAACCAGGUCAUUAAUACGAAGUACGAGAACCGACCAACCAGGUCACUGAUAUCACAUACAAGUAAACUACUCUACUCCUACACAUGAUACUAAGUAUGGAAACAUCUGAGUAGAGUAUAACCAAAACGACAUGGGUGCUAGGCUCAACACUAUAUAUGAAGAUAUAUACAUGCCAAAUAACAAUGAGAGUAAGGGUAAGAAACCAUCACCGAGCGUGCACCACUGUACCGACUUCGGAUCGAAAUACCUACCUGUAUGAAUGUCGCGCCUGUCUCCUGACUGCGAAAGAAAGUCAACCGGACCUAAGGAAGGUCCACUGGGUUAGUGUCUAACCCACAACUAAUAACCACUAAAUCCACAACCCACAAACAAACCCACAGAGAUCGGUUUCCCAAACCGAUCGCCGUAAUACGCCGGAAGUCCCGUAAUCGCACGGGGACUCCGUCGGGACCCACGAACUAUCCCGGAACAUACCGACUCGAGCUACGAGUCACCCGCUGCCACUAAGCAUAAAUAAUCAUGCAUCAUGGCAGUGAACACAACUCCUCAUGUCGAAACAAUUAUCGUCGGAUAAUCGUUUCGAUCCGGAUUCCCGGAAGUGUCUAAUUCGACACCGGAACCCACCGUCGCUCACCUGUGAUUUUUGAACUCUCGAAACGAUGCGGGUGACCAGCCAACAAGGCUCAGCGACUACACCAUAGCUCACGAGGCACCGUCGGAAUAAUUUCAAACCGAAAACGCGUUCCGUCGGCGGAUUUUGCCGACGAAUGCACCGGAAGUCAAUCUUCGGUCUUCGCAAAGGCUUGAGGCCUUGGACAAUCAGUCCAGAGGUCACCCAUUGCCUGUACACGCUGCCCACAGUGACCACGACAAACAAAAUUGCAUAAAAGCCCUCCCAAUUACCCGAAAUCACAUUAUUUUAUGUGAUUUCGGCGCUUUUAUGGUCUGUCUACACAAACUAGAAGUCAUUCAGCCAAACCGAGACACCUACUGAUAGGUCUCGGCGUGCUGGAGGCCAUGCUCACCUUUUGGAGCACUGCUGGACACUGUGGCAUGCGCACGAGCGAUGAGAAAAUCAGUGAAACAGCGCGCACAACGCUAAGGUCGCGUCUAAUACACAAACCGGGGCAUCUUUAACCCUACCGGAGGUGAACACAAUGUUCAGCACGAGUCGUAGAUCAUCGUGCUCACUUCUCGAGGUGAAGGAGACUUAUUGGAUCACCGAAAAUGUAAGGAAGUGAAUUCUCGAAACUCGAGGAUUAGACUUCGAUUAGAAUCGACUAUUCGUCGAGGGUGUAGGCUUCGGAAAGUCCGAAGGCGAUUAUAAUGCGUAAAGUGCAUUGAAGAAGGGCCCGCGAGAGCACCAAGUGCAAAACUUGCACUGGAGCAGAAUUGCUCUCGGGGACCGGUCCCUGGCAGGGAGGGACCGGUUCCAUCNGGCUGCGAUCCAAUUCGCCAAGCUGCUCUCGGGUUCAAGGGCGCCAACGGCAAGGCGGCGGCCGAAAAAGCCCGGGACUGCGACGAUCCGUCGUCGGAGGUCGAGGAGGAGGUGGCGCGCACGGCACAUGGCGGCGGGGGCGCACGGUGGCGGAGUUGGCUCCGCCUUGGCCCGCACCAGAUAUGGGCGGCCGCAGGAUGGAAAAGCAGCAGCUGGCGGUGCACGAGGACGGCGGGGAAGCGCGCCGAAGGUCGCCGGAAGGCGGUGCGGCCAAUGGGGAGCGGUGGCCGCACCCAAAACCCGAGCUCGAGCCUGCUCGGUUUGGGCUGACCCGAGCUGGCCGCAGCUCGCUCAGCUGGCUCCGGCGGCGCGUGCUGACGGCGGAAACGUCCAGUGACGGUGCCGGACGUUGGUCUCGGCCAGAGGAUGAUGGCGCUCAGACUUAGAUGACUCCUUGAGACCCCCAACCACAACAUGGUCGUGUGGUUGGCCGAGAGGGAGGGAGAGGGUGGUGCGGAAGGGUUUUCUGGUGGCCGGAGAAGCUCGCCGGCGUUCNUAAAAUUGAUGCAGUUUAAGUUAAUUUUAUAUUUGACGAAAAUUAAUUGUAAGAAUCACAAACAAUUAUUUCUCUUCUCAUUCACUAACUAUCGGGGGACUACGAUAGCUACUAAAAUUAUUUCACUAACUAAUGGGGGACUACUUAUGCCUACUAAAAUUUUUUGAUGUACUUAUUGCAUCAUUUAAAUUCUGAAAUUAAUUUUUAUAACUAAUUUUCAAGAUUAAAUUUUAAAAUAACUACCCGCAGCAUCGCGUGGGUCCUUUAACUAGUAGUGUAUAAUGUAGCAUAGUGUAAUUAAGGCUGAAAUACGUAUUUUAUUCUAUCUCAAAUAAACACCCUAGAAGUUUACAACUAAGUAAAUCGUAGAUGUCCACAACUAGCAGGUGUGUGAGUCUGUAAAUCUAUUCUUCUAUUCUACUACAUUAAAGGAGGGUUUGGGGGGACCAAAGGUUGACACGUGUCCCCCCAAAACCCUCCUUUAUUCUCUCUCUCUCUCUCUCUCUCUCUCUCUANUAUAUAUAUAUAUAUAGGUGAAAAUUGCUGAAAAGUCCUCUGUAGCCCACUAAUCUCAACUAGGUUCCAUGCCAGUAAGUGAACAUUGCGCACAAGCCCCUCGACGUUCGAAUUCACGCAAAAUGGCACAUAAAAUAUAGGGUCUAUUCGCGACUUAUCCGUUUUGCCAAUUUGACCCCUCAGCGGACCUUUCGCGAUUCCCGAAGAUCCGUCCGUCGGAUUUCCGAACGGAUUGAGCAUGGCUGGGGCAUCAAAUCUAGUAUUUCGUUUCGUCCGAUUUGGUCUUCGAUUUGCGACAAACCAACCCUCUUUGCUUCCACCACAUAACCACCUAUAUUAAUAUUUGUGAAAUAAAUCAAACCCCUUUUUCCCGACAACCGAGCAUCAGAACCCAAUUCCGUCAGUGCCAUUGGGUUCAGAAUAGUCGAGCCGUUCGAAAUGAGCUAUUGGAACCCUAUGUUCGGAGUCCAAUACGCACCAGAACCCUUCUCUACUCACUGGCUCAUCCGAAAAGCACGAGUUACUAUUCACUUUAAGUCAUCGGUCCUGGUCGCCGACAACCGAGCAUUGAACAUUCGACUCAGUCGCCAUAAAUAAAGGGUUCAGAAUGUCGGCUUCGAACGAGUUAUUGGAUCCUAUGUUGGAGUCAAUAUACACAGACCCUUUCCUAUGCUGGCUAUCCGAAAGCGGAGUUAUUCAUUUAAGUCAUGUUCUGUUGCUAACUUUCCAUUCUAUCUCGAUUUUCCUCGAAACUUGCGAUGCUUAUGUAUAAAUACACAAAAAAUAUGUCAGCAGAGAGGUUCGCUAUAUCUAUCAAAUCUCAAUUCCUUAAAUUAUCCCGCCUUAAAAAGUUUGUGCCAAAAUUGACCACGUAAACGUAAAUGAAUUAGACAUUACUGAUGCCUGCACUGCGAUAUCACUUUGAGUACUGGUCAGUUACAAUAAUGCUUGAAUCUGGACGGAUCACCUUCAAGGUGGGGAGAAAGUAUUGGGCAGUUCGCACUCGAUUAGACGAGGGAAAACAUCUAACCCAAAAUUUACACCAAAACUCCCGGAUCAACGACAUCCUAUAACCUCGGACAAAGACAGUCCCGCGACAGGAUAUAAAGAUCCAAAAUUACCAACUCUGAGAUAAAAUUCUCCAUCAGAAACUUUCAGGAUCACUCAACGUUAAUACGUCAUACCAGUAAGACUGCUAGUCGGGGUUCACGGUAGAAGAGAUACCCCAAGUCUGGAGUUUAUUUUCAUGGGAAAAGACUAUCUGACUAACCACAACGUUAACUCUGCUCACGGGACGGUGAUUAAGAAGCGUUGUCGACAACCGAGAAAUAACACUCACUAUAGAGCCAGUCUCCAAGAUAGAGCACAUGGAAAACUUCCAUCACGGAAAGUAACAUGCAGUAUUCUACAGUCUAGGUCAACCGUCACUUCCACCAGACAAAAGGUCCAAAGGAUGCAAUAACCAAUUGAGCUGGACAGAUUAUUGAAUUCGCUUUAAUAUUUCAUCGCAAAUAUAUCCAUGCAAGUCCAUUAUUUAUGGUGCACAGGUCGCAAUCGCAAUAUGCAUACUAAUCGUUGAUGCCAACUUGUCUCUCGAAACCCUGUCGCUGCCUGUCCUACAAAGGAACUUAGCGAUCGAUGUUCCAGUUAACAGCGCAAUCACGCUGUCUCAUUGAGACCAGGCGACUGUCUACGCUGUGCGUCCGCCAAUACGCCAAGAUAGACAUGCCAAUGGUUUUGCAACGAUAAGGAGCUAAGUCCACGCUUACACGCUAUCACAUACGGUGCAAAUCAAAACGCAACAACAAGCUUAAGUCCUCAACACUGUGAUUCUACCCCGCAAACAGAUCGAGACUAUAACAACAAACUUUUAGCAGUGGGGAAGCACAACUAAAGAACUAACGAGCCUAGAUCCCAGAGUGAAAAUCAUCAGUGACGAUAAACAACUGCGGCAAAACCAUAUAGGGAAUAAUCCAAAGCUCAAUGUGGUUAUAGAUACCACACUACAGAUUUCCCAGACAAUCUAGAGAAAAUACCGACAAUCCAAUGAGUGCAAACGGGAAGGGUAUAUUCGGUCCAGCAACUUUCGACAGUAUAUUGUCUGGCAGCAAUGUACUUAUCAAGAAGCGAAAAUUACGAAGGAUCUAACUCAAACAAGUUCGACAGCACGACACGUCGAAGUAUUAGCACUUUGAUAUUCUCUUCAUGAACAAAAGUUAUGAACCAAACGUCAAAACUUGACUUUGCAAGUGAACAUUCGAAACAAGAUCGCCGAGAAUGACUCUCUGGGAGUACCAUAGCUUUCAACAUCCGAAAGCUGGUUAAGACUAAGCGCGAACGUACAAACGAGUUUAGGAAAAGGUUUUUCCAACCCGGAAUUUCUGCAACCACAUCCGAGCUAUAAUAAGCUCGGAAAGCUCGGCAAUACAAUGAACCUACACAAUCACAGACUAACCACAACACAACCACAAUUUGGGUAUUUAGGAUAACGCGCAUUGACGAUGUAUGCAUCACUAGAGAAUCUGACCCAAUGGGUGUCAAUCUGAUUUAUCUGUCAUUUGAGCGAAUGAACUAGUUUAUAGGUCAAAAGAAGGCUCAACGGUGAUUUCAUCAGCAAUCAAGGAAGAGAGGUAGGCAUCAAAACCUACUCCAAGAUCUAGGAAGAAUCACAACAUUGCAGUCGUCCUUAAGACGCUACUAUACUUGCUACACUCUAGUAGCCCCACAGAAGCCGCGACCAGUAACUGGUUCAUUAGUGCGUCUCCGUAAGAGACUCCAGUAGUCUCAGUGCCCUCAGUAGUGAGAGUGGCUGGCGUCGGCAGUUAAGACACAUCGUCUAGCCCCAAUAAUCAUUGGCCUCAAGGCCACCUGACAGGAAUGGCUCACCUGUAACUUCACGACGCCACUCAAUGUCAUACAGUACACCACCACUAUGCCAACUGAGACACCCAGCUUGUGCGACAAGUCGUAGCAGCACCGAAAUAACGGUGCACUGCUGAGUUUCAACUCGUCAUCACACGACCGAGACACGCAGCCCAACCGACUAUGUGACAUACCGUAGUUUCUAUGGGUCAACCUAACAAUGGUUCAGUUUAUUUAUUUCAAAACAACAUCUUUGUGAAAUGUUUGUAGGUUGUAUCUCGCUCUAACACACUUUAAUCUGUCACGGCCCGGGGUUGCCUUUUAGUUUGAAACAUAGCGGAAAAGCGUCUAAUUUUUUAUUGAAAAGCUGACCCAGGGUAAUGAGAUCGGCCACAAAUAUAGAAUUACUGUUCACACGGAUAGGUCUCGCCUGUUAUUUGGACGGCGUCGGCAUCAAGUACACAAGUACGGAAUGCAACACAACUAAUGAAUAUAGAGAUAAGCUAAUGCAUUCAUACAUUCGCAUUCAAUCACAGAUUUACUUCAAUAGUCUAACAUUAAAUCACAGAAGCUUGAACCUGUUCCUACACGGAACUUUUAUUUUUUAAAAACCUAACACAGAGAUAGAAAAGCUUUUUGUUUACGAAAACUAUUAAUACUUUUUUAUUAUUUUACAAAGCAAAUCAAAUAUAAUAUUACUGAAAUACAAAAACUGAACAUUGAUAUGUUAAGUUUACACAGAAUAAAAAGGACGACGACUAAACCGAACAAACGCGGGUCGGAAGCUCUAACGCACGUACGAAGCGUGUCUCAUGUCUCGUCUCACCCUCGACCGGUCGCAAUAACUAAAAAUAGUAGGGGAGAGUGAGAUAUAUAACAUAUCUCCCCUUCCAAGUGGGUACGCAGCCGAAGAAGGGCGAGGAGUACUCACCGGUCAGGAAGAGAUAAUAUAUAGGUAAGUGAAAUACAUAGCAAUGAUAAUGAGAAUGAGAUAUUAAUAUACUGAAGAACAACUACGCUACUGUAACGAAGAACUGAAGAAUACAGGUUAUCAAAACUAUAGUAGCAAGACAACUGUACAGAAUACUGUAAGUAUAACAAUGAGUUACUAUAACUAUUGUCCCAGGACGAUAAGUCCAAUAUCAAAUCUGAAAACUUGCCUCUGUUUGGUGCGCAUUUGCAGACCUUCCAAGCUAUGCCUUGCACACUCUACCCGUGUAUAAGCCAGGUAGCUAUAGGGCUCACAGGCCUAGAUAUAACCCAAGGUAGCCUACUACCCACGGGUUGGCCACACCAACACAUUUUCGGAAAAGAAACACUUCUUGCGGUCAGGAUAGACGCGGUGUUCGUGAAAUGGUACCGAGCAUCGGGCGUCAAUGCUGAUAUGCUAAAGCACAACGUUCGGAACAACCGAAAUACACUGCCCUCUGGGGCAAAACCGACCAAUAGGUCAUCAAACUUGUUAAGGAAGAACUUAGAACAGACCACUCAAUCAAAUACUAAGGAUGUGACAAACUCCAACAUCGUCUCAUGUAUGAAGUACUGCUCAAAUGUCAACUAACUGUAUACUCAAGAACGGACCAAUAGGUCACUAUGUAGAUGUCACGAAUAUGUAUCACUGAAGUCCAGAACUACCGUAAGCCACUAGCCGACCAUACACCCGUCAGGGAACACCAGACUCAAGGUCAUCGAACGACAGAAGUCAGGACCUGACCUGAAUAGGAUUACAGAAUACAAGAUACAAGAACUGACAGAUCAGGUCACUGAUACAUAAGUAGGAGACGACCAACCAGCAGUCAUUAAUACGAAGUACUAGAAGACCGACACCACCAGGUACUGAUAUCAACUACAGUAAACUUACUUACCCUACAAUAGAUACUAAGUAUGGAAAACAUCUGAGUAGAGUAUAACAAACGACAAUGGGUGCUAGGCUCAACAUAAUAUCAUGAAAUAUAUACAUGCCAAAUUACAAUGAAGUAAGGGUAAGAAACAUCACCCGACUGUGACCAGCUGACCGACUUCGAUCGAAAUACCUACUGUAAUGAAAUGUCGGCGCGCCUAAAAGUCUUCUGACUGGAUAAGAAAGUCACACGCCGGAGCUAAGGAAGCUCACUGGAGUUAUGUCUAAACCACACUAAUAACCACAUAAACCACAACCCAAAACAACCACAGAGAUCGGUUUCCAAACCGAUGCCGUAAUACGGGAAGUCCGUAAUCGCACGGGGACUCGUCGGGACUCCGAACUAUCCCGGAAAUACGAGCUCGACUACGAGUUCACCGCGUGCACUAGCAUAAAUAAUCAUGAUCAUGGCAGCUGAACACAAUCUCUCAUGUCGAAACAAUUAUUUCGUCGGUAAUCGGUUUCGAUCGGUUCGCAAGUGUCUAAUUCGAACCGGAACACAGUCGCUCUACACUGUGAUUUUUAACUUCGAAACGAUGCGGAGUGACAGCACAAGGCUCAGCGACUACACCAUGAGCUCACGGAGCACGUCGGAUAAUUUUCAAACGAAAACGCGUCUGGUCGGAGGAUUUUGGCGUACGAUGCACCGGAAGUCAAUCUUCGGUCUAUCGCAAGGCUUGAGGCUUGUACAAUCAGUCAGAGGUCCACAUCUGCCUUGUACGCUGCCCACAGUGACCACGACAACAACAAAUUGCAUAAAAAGCCUCCAAUUACCCGUCACAUAUUUUUAUGUGAUUGUCGGCGGCUCUUUAUCGGUCUGUUACACAACUAGAAGUCAUUCAGCCAACCGGACACCUAUUGAUAGGUCUCGCGCGUGCUGGAGCCAUGCUCAGUUUUGGAACAAUUGCUGGACACUGUGCAUGCGCCACGAGACGAUGAGAAAUAAUCAGUGAACACGGGCACAACCUAAAGGUCGCGUCUAAUACAAACCGGGAUCUUGUGAACCCUACCGGAGGUGACACAAAUGUUCAGCAGAGUCGAUAGAUCAUCGUCUCACUUCUUGAGUGUAAGGAGACUUAAUUGGAAUUUUUUUUCCACCGAAAAGGUGACCGGAAACGUCAGACUAUGUACUAGAACAUAAAAAGCAUACCGAAGUCAGGAGAGCUAGGGUUGGACGCCGGCGCGGACGGAAGGCUGUGCCAGGGCAGGGUGCGGCCUGUCAGUGGGUCGGGGAACCUGUAGCCGGCGGCGGGAGGCCGCCGGUGGCGCGCGGCUGCGAUCCAAUUCGCCAAGCUGCUGCUCGGGUUCAAUGGCGCAACGGCAACAGGCGGCGCGAAAAAGCGCGGACUGCGACGAUCGUCGUCGGAGGUCGAGGAGGAGGUGCGCGGCACGGACAUGGGCGGGGGCGCACAGGUGGGGAUUGGCUCCGGCUUGGCGCACCAGAGUAUGGGCGGCCGAGAUGGAAAAGAAGCAGGCUGGCGGUGCACGAGGACGGCGGGGAAGCGGCGAAUAGUCGCGGAGGCGGUGCGGCAAUGGGGAGCGUGCCUGCACCACAAAAACCCGAGCUCAGAGCCUGCUCGGUUUGGCUGACCCGAGCUGGCGCAGUUCGCUCAGUGUGGGUACCCUAGAGGAAGAGAGUAGAUCAGGUGGCCGCGGACGUUGUCUCGGCCAGAGAUUGAUGGCGCUCAGACUUAGAUGACUCCUUGAGACCCCCAACCACAACAUGGUCGUGUGGUUGGCCGAGAGGGAGGAGAGGGUGGUGGCGGAGGGUUUUUCGUGGCCGGAUAGAAGCUCGCCGGCGUUCAGGGCGCGCGCAUACGGCAGGGCAGAGAUGAAGGUAACGACGGCGUAGGGUUAGCUGUAGCUAGGUGGACUCGGUUAGGGUUUCCUUUGUGAACCGACCUAACGUAUAUAUAUAUAUAUAGGUGAAAUUGCUGAAAGUCUCUGUAGGCCCACUAAUCUCAACUAGUUCCAUGCCAGUAAGUGAACAUUGCGCACCAAGCCCCUCGACGUUCGAAUUCACGCAAAAUGGCACAUAAAAUAUAGGGUCUAUUAGCGACUUAUCGUUUUGCCAAUUUGACCCCUCAGCGGCCCUUUCGGGAUUCCAGAGAUCCGUCGUCGAAUUUCCGAACGGAUUGAGCAUGGCUGGCGGGCAUCAAAUCUAGUAUUCUGUUUCGUCGACAUUUGGUCUUCGAUUUGCGACAAACCAACCCUCUUUGCUCCACACACAUAACACACCUAUAUUAAUAUUUGUGAAAUAAAUCAAACCUUUUUCCCGACAACGCGAGCAUAGAACCCAAUUCCGUCGUGCCAUUGGUUAAGAUAGUCGAGCCGUUCGAAAUGAGCUAUUGAACCCUAUGUUCGGAGUCCAAAAUAGCGCAGCAGAACCUUCUCUACUCACUGGCUCAUCCGAAAAGCACGAGUUUACUAUUCACUUAAGUCAUCGGGUCCUGGUCGCCUAACUUCUCCAUUCUAGCUCGUUCUUCCCCAAACUUGAUGAGUACUUAUGUAAUUAAAUUACACACAAAACAAUCGUCAACAGAGAGUUCAGCGUACACUGUAAAUCUCAGUCCUUACAUGGCGGGACGGAAGCGGGCGUGGCGCGGGGCGGGCGCUGGCGCGGGGUCGGCGCCGGCGCGGGCGCGAGUGUCGACUCGUGGGCGGUCCGGAGCUGGCGGCGGGGCGAGGGCGGCCGCUGGCGCGGGGGCCAUUGCGGGGGCGGGCUCCGGCGUAGCGCGCGCGGGAGCGGCGCCGUGGGUCGCGGCGUAGCGCGGGGCGCGAGCGCGGUGGGGGAGCGGGCGCCGGCGGGCACGCAAGGGCGCGGCAGCGGGCGCGCACGGCGCGCCGGCGGUGGAGCCGAAAAAACAUCGGGGCUUAUGGGGGUGGUGUUCACGAGGUCCACGAGGCCGAAGUGGCCUUGUGGACACAUGAGAGGGAGGUCCACGGUGGACCUCCUCUCUCUCUUCUCUCUCUCUUUCCUCUUUCUCUCUCUCUCUCUCUCUCCUAUAUAUAUAUAUAUUAAUUUUUUAUUUAUAAAUAUAUAUAUUUAUUUAUUAUAUAUAUAUUUAUUAUAAUAUAUAUUAUAUUUAUUCUAUAUAUUUUAUUAUUAUACAUAGUAUUUUAUUUGUAUAUAGAUAAAUUAUUAUAUAAUAAUUUAUUAUAUAAUUUACUAUUUAUUUUAUAAAAUGUAAAAUAUAUAAUAUGUUAAUAAUUUAGACCUACUGGUAUUAGAUAUAUAUUAAUUUUAUAAUAUUGAGCAUUCAACAAUAAUUGUCAUUAAAAAUAAAGUAAAAUUGAUGCAGUUUAAGUUAAUUUUAUAUUUGAAGAAAUUAAUUGUAAGAAUCACAAACAAUUUUUCUCUUCUCAUUCACUAACUAUCGGGGACUACGUAGCUACUAUUAUUUCACUAACUAAUGGGGGACUACUUAUGCUACUAAAAUUUUUUGAUGUACUUAUUGCAUCAUUUAAAUUCUGAAAUUAAUUUUUAAACUAAUUUUCAAGAUUAAUUUUAAAAUAACUACCCGCAGCAUCGCGUGGGUCUUUAACUAGUAGUGUAUAAUGUAGCAUAGUGUAAUUAAGGCUGAAAUACGUAUUUUAUUCUAUCUCAAAUAAACACCCUAGAAGUUUACAACUAAGUAAAUCGUAAUGUCACAACUAGCAGCGUGUGUGGUCUGUAAAUCUAUUCUUCUAUCUACCUACAUUAAAGGAGGGUUUGGGGGACCAAAGGUUGACACGUGUCCCCCAAACCCUCCUUUAUUCUCUCUCUCUCCUCUCUCUCUCUCUCUCUCUCUAUAUAUAUAUAUAUAUAUUAUAUAAAUAUAAAAUAUAAAAUUUAAAUUUUGAUAUCAAAUUUAAAAUUUGAUACUUUCAAAUUUAAAGUUUUAAAUUUUAUAUUUUUAUUUUAAAUUCUAAAUUUUAAUUUUACUAUAUAACAUUUACUUCCAAAUUUUAAUUUGAUACUUCAAAUUUUAAAGUUUUAAAUUUUAAUUUUAAAUUUUAAAUUUUAAAUUUUAUCUUUUAAAUUCUAAAUUUUAAUUUUAACUUAUAGCAUUUAUUUCCAAUUUAAACUUCAAAUUUUAAAAUUUUAAAUCUCUAACUCUAUAAAAUUAAUUAUUAAUUUUAUUAAUAUAAUUAAAUAUAUAUAUAUUUAUUCAUUUUAUUAAAUAACCGAAAUAAUCGCGUAAUAAUAUCUACCUAAUAGAGUGCAAUUUAAAUCACGUAAAUAUCGCUGUAAUAAAAAAUACAGAAUUUAAAUUUCAGGAGUAAAAUUUUAAAAAUAUAAUGUAUAUAUGUGUAUAUAUAUAAUUAUUUUUUAUUAACAAAUUUCUUUACAAUUUUAUGUUUCUUCUAUUUAUUGAAAUUAUUUUGAUAGAUUUAUCUAAAUCUUUUCAUAUAAAUCUUUACAAAUAAAUUGUUGUAUAUAAUUUACUUUGCGCAUAUACUAAUUUUAUAAAUUUAUUUAAAUAGAUUUAAGUAUUAAAUUAUUUUUAUAUAAUUUUAUUUUAAUUAAUAAUUAGAGUUUAUAAAACUAUAAUAAAAAUAUUAAAAAUUAAAAUUUAUUAUAAAAAUAAUUUUAUAUCCGCAGCAUCGCGCGGGUAUUUCACUAGUAACUAUAUAAACAUAGCAAAUACUGUACAUAUACAUCCACUUGUAUGUACAAUCCAAAUAAAUACUACAACACUAUUAUGUUCGCACACAAGUCUUCAUGUUUAAUCUGCUAUCUAUAAUCUAUAGAUAUAUUAAAAGUUAGGUUUUACUGUGGCCACGUGCCGCUUCUCAGCGCCCUCUUCUUCUAUCCUUCAAGAGGGCGAGGAGCGCGGGUCGACGCACGCGGGCAGCACCAGCGGCGCGGCCACGAAGGGCGCGAGCGUGCGCCGAGCCGGGGUCACGCGCACGUGGCAGGACGAGCGGGCCCGGGCAUGAGCGGGCGCCCGGCGGGUCGCGUGCAGCGCAACACGGGGGCGCGGGCGAGUGAGAAGGGCGAGCCGGCGGCCCGGGGAGUGAGAAGGGCGAGCGGGCGCGGGGCUGGCGCGCGCACAUUGCAGAGUAGCAGGGCGCGGCAUCGGCGUGCGGCUCGAGCGCAGCGAAGGGCGCGGCUCGGGGCGAGACGAGUUCGAGCGACGGGCCUGGCGGCGGCGCGGUGUGCGGCUCGACCGGGCACCCCAUCUCUCUCUCUCUCUCUCUCUCUCUCUCUUUCCAUCUCCUCUCCCUCACGGGCGGACGCACGAGGGGGGCGGCGCGGGUGGGCGCUCGAGCGGCCCUCACUCUCUUAUCUCUUCUCUCUCUCUCCCCCUCUAUCGGGCGGGCGCCGAUGCGGGUGGACGGCUCGAGUGGCCCCCUCCUCUCUCUGCUCGUNNNNNNNNNNNNNNNNNNNNNNNNNCUACUUCUUCCAUUCUAGUCGUUCUUCUCCCAAAUCUUGAUGAGUACUUAUGUAAUUAAAUUACACACAAAAACAUCGUCAACAGAGGAGUUCAGCUACACUGUCAAAAUCUCAGUCCUUACAUGGCGCGGACGGAGCGGCGUGGGCGGGCGGGGGCGCGCUGGCGCGGGGGUCGGCGCCGGCAGCGGCCGCGAGUGUCGACUCGUGGCGGGCUCCGGAGCUGGCGCGCGGGCGAGGCGGGCCGCUGGCGCGGGGGCCAUUGCGGGGGCGGGCUCCGGCGUAGCGCCGCGGGGCGGGCGCGUGGGCGCGGCGUCGCGGGCGCGAGCGCGGUGCGGGGAGCGGGCGCCGGCGCGGGCACGCAAGGGCGCGGGCGCGGGCGCGGCACGGCCGCGCGGGCGUGGAGCGAAAAAACAUCGGGGCUUAUGGGGUGGUGUUCACGAGGUCCACGAGGCCGAAGUGGCCUUGUGGACACCAUGAAGGGAGGUCCACGGUGACCUCCCUCUCUCUCUCUCUCUCUCUUUCUCUUUCUCUCUCUCUCUCUCUCUCUAUAUAUAUAUAUAUAAUAUUUUAUUAUAAAUAUAUAUUAUUAUUAUAUAUAUAUUUAUUUAUAUAAUAUAUUUAUAUUCAUAUAUUUAUUAUUAUACAUAGUAUUUUAUUUGUAUAUAGAUAAAUUAUUAUAUAAUAAUUUAUUAUAUAAUUUACUAUUUAUUUUAUAAAAUGUAAAUAUAUAAAUAAAUGUUAAAUAAUUUGAAUACUGGUAUUAGAUAUAACUAUUAAUUUUAAUAUUGAGCAUUCACAAUAAAUUGUACAUUAAAAAUAAAGUAAAAUUGAUGCAGUUUAAGUUAAUUUUAUAUUUGAGAAAUUAAUUGUAAGAAUACAAAACAAUUUAUUCUCUUCUCAUUCACUAACUAUCGGGGGACUACGAUAGCUACUAAAAUUAUUUCACUAACUAAUGGGGACUACUUAUGCCUACUAAAUUUUUUGAUUGUACUUAUUGCAUCAUUUAAUUCUGAAAUUAUUUUUAUAACUAAUUUUCAAGAUUAAAUUUUAAAAUAACUACCGCGAGCAUCGCGUGGGUCCCUUUAACUAAUAGGAUCUCUCACUUCCUCUCUCUCUCAGUGUAAAUUUAAAAUAUAAAAUUUUAAAAUUUAAGUUUGAAAACUUUACAUUCCAAAUCUAAAUUUAAAUUUAAAUAUUUAAAAUUUUAAAUUUUUUAUUAUUUAAAAUUAAAAUUAAAUUUAAAAUAUAAACUGUUGAAGUUUAAACUUUAACUUUUAAAUUUUGAAAUUGAAAUUUUAAUAUUUGAAAUUUAAUAUUUGAAUUUUUUUUUAAUUCAAUUUAUAAUUUAAUAUUUAAAAUAUUAAAAUUUAAAAUUUAAAAGUUAAAACUUAAAAUUUAAAAAUUUUAUAUUUUAUUUUAAUUACUAAAACUAAAUUUUAAAAUAUCCAAAAUUUAAUAUUUAAAAAUUUUAAAUCCAAUUUAUAAUUUUAUUUUUAGAAUAUUUGUAGUAUACUGAAAUUUAGCAAAUUGCGAAGUUCGAGUGUUAGAAUAGUAAUUGAAACUAUUCCACAACUUUUGAGGGUUGUCGAGGGGUUUUCGACAAGUUACUGGAGUAACUAAGUGGCCGGAGGAGUAAAAGUGCAUUGAAGCAGCGGAAAUCUGUAAUUUACACUGAGUACCGGUACCAGCAUGAUGGAGUACCGGUACCCAGCAUAGCAGCUGCAUGGCUGAGGGAUCGUUUGGUCAUUUCACUUUCACAGCUUGUUCUUAUCAACUCUGGUCGACCCCUUAGCUUAUCCUUAUCCCUCUGUAGCUGAGGAUAAGGUAGGAACUUCUCUUUCCCUCUUUCUCUCUCUAGGUUUUCCAUUUUGAAGUGGAAAACUAGUGGAUUUGAGUUUAAUUCUUCCUCAUCUUUAUUUGCUAGCUGGUUGGAAGGCUUGGAGCUGUGUUUUGCUGUUGGAGAGAAGAGUUUGGGAGGUAUUUCGCAGCUCUAGUACGGUAGGAAGCCGAGUUGCAUCUUGGUAAGAUGAGAAUACCAUUUCUCUCUCUAGUUUGAUGCUAGUAGUGGAUAUACGCUUGGUUCUUUGCUUUUGGAUUACCAGCUGGUUUGGGGAGGUUGUAGCAACCAUAGAAGGUGUAUUUUGCUAUGGUUCUUCAACUUUAAUCUAAGGAAAAAGCUGAAUUAAAGCUAUUGGAAGGUAUACUACCUACUAGCUCUCUAGUUGGAUGUAUUGAUUGUAGUGUUGAAGCAGUUUUUCAUGCAAUCCACAGCAGGUUCCGAGCAGGGGAGUGAACUCCUUUGAGCUGAGUUUAGUGACUCUUGUGAGCUGAUUUUGAUGUGCUUCAGCCUGAGUUGGAGCCGUGCAAGGUGAGUAAUUUAACUUCUUGCUAAAUUGGAUGUAUUAGUAGAGUAUUGAUGGAGUUCAUGGGGUAGGUUUAAAGCAAAAUUUGCAGCAAGUUGUUGAAUCCCUUUAGCUAAAAUUGGUGAGCUUUCGAAGGGUAAUUUUGAGGUGCCCCAACCUAAAUUGAAGUAGAAUUAAAGCUGAAUUAUAUUCUAGGUGAGAUUCUAACCUAGAUUAUGUGAUUAUGCGGGGUUUAUUAUGUGAAAGUUCGAUUAAGCUCCUAACUGAUUUUAGAAUAUUUGUUAGGGUACUUGGAGGCUUCGGAUUACCUUCGUACGCGGAAUCAUCGAGAGUUGUCGACUAAUUGGUGGGUUUGACCUUACCAAAAUGGGUGAAUUCUCUCUAUGUCUACUUUGACAUUAUAAUAUUGAAAUUCUUACAUAUUCAUGUAAGUAUAUCUUGAAUGGGAUUAUGCUUGCAUAUCCACGUGAAUAUAUAUUUGGAUGGCUUGAGGCAUGUACAACGUGCAUAUUAUAUCGGAUAAAGGGAACCUCUAUGUAGUAGAGGAGAAUUAUGAAUGGCUUCGCAUACAUAGAUCACUUGCUUGGUUAACAUGCAUUGCAUGAUACUAGUAUACUUGUAUUGAUAAGUUAAGUAGGAUAUCAUUCAUGAAUGAAUGGAUAUAAAGCUAUAAUUAUGGCACUGAGAUUCGAUGUAUAACUAAGUGAAGGAUGCAUUAUAAUGGUUUAUCUUCGAGUAAAUUUAGGCAAUUCUAUGUUGUAGACAUAAUGACAGAACUCUUUACCUAUCAUGUAUAGUGAAGUUACAUACUCAUACAUUUACAUGUAAAUCAUGUUAAGAGUAUAGUAGAGGAUGUUUCGCAUACUUGUAUUGAUAAGUUGGUUACUGCUUUCCCAGAACAGAGAUAGCAUGAAUUUCAUAUUCUUAUAUAUAUGAUCUAGUCAAGUAACUAGAAAUAAGCAUUAUAACAUAACAUGAAUGUUAUACUAGUGAAUAUGAUCUAGUUAAAUCACUAGAAUUGGACAUGAGGAUAUACCGAUAUAGUCAAGUAGAAGUACUUGUCUAAUACUUGUUUACUCCAGAUAGUGGAGGUUUAUAUGGAACUAUAGAAUAUGUGCCAUGAGUUACAUGAACACUAGAAUGAGUCGUUGAGUAUGAUUUUAGUAAACCACCUUCCUUAUGUAUAGGGAGUAGUGAGAGAAUUAUAUGUGAGAGUGUGGAUAUAGCCCAUUAGAAACAUUAAUGUAAUGUAAAGCAUGCACUUGUUUAAGUCCUACUAUCCAUUGGUAGAGGUAUCUCACCAAGUAAUUGAUAGUAGGUUAUGACGUAGUGUUAAUUGUCGACCUUGUGUCGAGCUGAGAUUCUAUAUUAGAGACAUGAUGAACUUGUGAAACCUACGCUAUGGAUUACGCUUACUUGCCAAUGUGCUCAUUCGCACAUGCUUGUGAGGGUCGCUCCCCACAAGCCGGCACUCCGGAGUUGGCCUACGCGACAGAUUGCUCGCUUAUGUAUGAGACUGAGCACCGAAGUGGAUUGGUGUGGGUAGUGUUGACUUCCACGGGGCCAUUAGGCACGGCACGGGCUGAGACUUUACCAUGUGUAAGUCUCUUGUUAAUUGGGUUAAUGUUAAGGACUUUAACCUUAGAUGGACAUAGUAGUAAGGAUAUGUCAUUGGUUGAAUAUAUUAGUAAUGAGCAUACUAGAAUGUUCGCAUCCCUGUUGGUCAAUAGUUUAAUGACAGUUCCUGCAUGUUUACACUCUUGUUAGUGUAGGAAAAUAGCUACAUGAGGUCAUUAACUAGUUAAAUUAUAAUGACGAUAUUCUGCAUACAGCCGAACAUAUAUCUAAUUAAACGGUUAAUUAGCAUGAUUUAUAGAACAUGUAAUGAUGAACUAGUACAUAAGGCAUGUUAGAAAACAUAUCUUGUGAGGCCUGCUAUGGUUAAAUUGUUUCAUUUACUUGUUGCAUAUAUUUUGUUUACUUAUUGUUGUUUACUCAUACCUCAGUUGACCUAGUGGUGCACUUCGCCACUCUCGGCAGCUUACCCACUGGAAACUAUUGUUUAAUAGUUCUCACGCCCUUUUGUUGGUUGUUUUUGUGCAGAGCCUUCCACAGCGGGAAAGGCUAGGGUUCCUGACGAGAGGUUAGCGGCUAGUUAGAACCUUCUCGAUGUUAAAUAGAUGAAACCGUACCAGCUGUUCUAGUUGAGUUCAGUGUUGUAUAGUGGUACUAUGUAGAAUGUACUUUGUACUUUGCUUCUAGGCUAUAUUAAAGUUUUGUAUUUGUAUAAGCUUAUAAACUUUUAAGUUUUUGCUCUGAUUACUUGGUUAGAAUAUUAUGCUUUUGCUAUGUUAUUUAUAGACGCCUGGUGUACACUUGAGGUUGUGGUGUACACGGCGGGUCUGUGCACGUAACUGGUAAGCUUCCGCUGAAGUCCAGGGCGUGACAAUAUUGCAAUUUGAAAUUUAAAAUUUAAAAUUUAAAACUUAAAAUCUAAAAAUUUUAUAUUUUAUCUUAAUUACUAAAACUAAAUUUUACAAUUUUACAUUUUUAAACUUUAAAUUUCAGUUUCUAAAUUUUAAAUUUUACAUUUUAUAUUCAAAUUUUGAAUUUUAAAAGUUAAAAUAUAAAUCUAAUAUUUGAAACCUAAAAUUUUAAAUUUGAUAUUUGAUAUUUAAAAGUUAAAAAUAAUAUUUAAAAUCUAAAUCUGGAAGAUGUUUAUUUGAAAUUCAUCAAUUUUAAAUUUUAAAUCUGAAUAAUAGUUUAAAAUUCAGCUAUAAAAUCAAAUUUUAAAUUUAAAUUUUAAAUCAAAAAUCAAACUGAGAUUUAGGUUGCCGAUGUUGAUCCGCUGCGAAGCGCGGGCCCUAAAUUAGUAUACAUCAAUUGAUGGUCAAUUUACACACACACAACUCGAUAGAAUAUGCUAACUAUCCCGCGAUCCCAUUAUCUCGAUCAGCAACGGAUGCUAAGAGCUCUAAAAAGAAAACAUCAGAUUAAGGAGGGCGUGCGAACCACCGAACAACAGUCCUCAGCGAAUAAUCAACAACAUCGAUGAUUUACACCACUAGGUCUACUAAAGGCAAAAUAGUAAACUGAAUGAUAUGAAUAACAGAAUAUAACUAGCAAUAUACCCGCGUUUUGCAGCGGAUGGAAUUUUUAAGUUCAUAGUUAUUAUAUUAUAAUAGAGUCAAAUAAAAGUGCUAAUUUAUAUAUAUAUAUAUCUCUUAUUUGGAGAGAGAGAGAGAAAAGAACAUUAAGUAAAAGUUAAAAUCAGUGAGAGAGAUAAAGAGAGAGCACUUUCAAACUUUUAAAUAUAGUAUAUUUUACUCAUAAUUUAGAAAAAUAAAAAUUAAAGAUUUUUAAAAAUAUAUAAUUACUAAAUUAAAGUUUAAAAUUAUUUUAAAUAUUUAUAUAUUUUGUUUGGAGAAUGAGAGAAAAAAAAGCAUUUAAUUAAAUAUUAAAUUGAGGGAGAGAGGAAAGCGGCAUGCACAUUUGUCGACGAGAGAGGAAAAGAGAAGAGAAAAGAUAUAAACAUUAAAUUAAAUAAAAAUUAAGUAAAAAAGAGAGUACACACUCCGUGAAGUGAGAAAGAUAUAAGAAAGAUAUGCGUUACAUUAAAAGAUUAUCUCUUCAACGGACCCAAAAUAGAAUAGAUUCAUAAUCUACACUGCACAAUAUGCAUCCAAUAUCUCGAUUACCAAAUACAUGGUGUAUUGGAUGUGGUUUAUAAUAUUAUGCAUGAUACUCUUAAAAAUCAAUUAUAAACAAUUCAAAAAUUAAGAUUUAAUUUAUUGAUUAUGUUUUAUAACAUUCGAAAUAUUUAUGUAUUAAAAACUAUAAACCUUAAAUACAUUUAUUGAAGUAAAAUUAUAUUUUUUUGACUUGGUUCAUGGUACACCAAGUGCAUGGAAUAUAUCAAAUGGACAUAUGUCCACAAACAAACCCCUCCCGGAUAUCUAUAACAUACAUGAAUUCUCAGUUUUGGAAUAGGUGGCGAGCGUGGAGGCGCGGGCAGGGGCGAGCGCGGGGCGCGGGCAGGCGGGCGCGCGUGGCGGGGCGCCGCGUGGCGCGGGCCACGCGUGGCACGCGGGGAGCGGGCACCGGGCGCGAGCAGGAAGCGCGAGCCGCGCGGGGCCGCGGCGUGACAGUGGUGGCGAGCGGAGGCGCGGCAGGGCCGAGCCGGGGCCGGGCCAGCAGGCGUUGCGUGCGGGCGCCGCGUGCGCGGGCGAGCGGGCUGCGCGCACGGGCACGUGGGGCAGGGCACGCGUGCGCGGAGAGGAGAGGGAGAGGAGAGGGAGAGGCGUGCGCGCGUGCGAUGGGCAUGCGGGCGCCGCAGGCGGCGCGCUCGCGGGCCCCGCGUGCGCGGGAGAGUGAGGGCGGGAGAGGAGAGGAGAGGAGAGAGAGAGGCGGGGCCCAGCUGAAGGAAGAGGAGAGGGAGAGAGGGAUUUUUUUUUUUGUCUCUUUUGUCUCUUUCUACUUUUUCUUUUUAAUCAUUUUUAAUAUAUUUGUUUCUCUUAAUAUAUGAUUAAAAAAAUUAUAAAUUUUUUAAUUCAAUCUAAAUUUUAUUAUUUUAUAAAAAUUUAAAAUAUAUAAAUAAUUUAAAUAAGUAAAUUAUUGUAUUCAAUAUAAUUUUUAAUUAAGCUGAAUAAAAGAAUUAUUAAAAAUAUAUUAAAAAUAAUGAAGGAAAUUUAAAAAAAUGAAACAUAAAAAGUAAAAAAAAAUAAAAAUAAAAAAAGGAUAAGAUAGAUAAAAGAAGAAUAGAGGCAAAAAUGUAAGAACAAUAAAUCAAUUUUUUCUAAAAUUAUAUAUAAUUAUAAUAAUAAUCUAUAAUAUAUAUAGAUAAAUGUAAUUAAAUAUAAUUUCUUAUUAGAUGAUUUUUGUCUUUAUUUUUGUAAUCUUCUUAUAAUUUUAUUACAGCAAUAUGUUGUUUUUUUAGUUAUUUUUUUAUACAUUUUUGACUCUUUUUUUUACUAUUAUUUAUUUUAUUUAUAUAUUUUAUUUCUGCACGAAUCAUUCCACCGCAACGCGCCGGUCCUUAACUAGAUUCACUAAAUAUAAAAUUAUAUGUUUAUUGGAUGCUAGGAUCUGUCCCACCGCCCGGGAUCCCUUUUUGUUUGAACACAGCGGAAAAAGCGUCUAAAUUUUUUUUUUUUUUUUACAUAAAACCUGACCCCAGAGUAUGCCAGAUCCGCCACAAAUACAGGAGAUCCAUUGUUCACACGGACAGAGUCUCCCCUAUAUUUGUACGGCGUCGCACGAGUACAAGAGUACAACCAGGAUACAACCACAACAAAUGAACAUACAAAUAACCAAUCGUUAUAUGUAUUCAUACACCAUUCACCACAGAUUCACAUUUAUGCAUUCAACAUUUAAACAUAAAUCCAUAGAAAAUCUUUUGAAAACUCUUUCCUGCACAGAAAUCUUUAUUCUUUAAAAACGCUACCACGAGGGGUAGAAAGCCUUUUAUUUUACAAAAUCCAGAAAUCUUUUUAUUACAUUCAUGAAAAUCCUCAUAUUCAAAUGUAAUAAAAAUACUGAACCAUAUAAAUACUCUAAGCUAUGUAUCAACAGAAAUAAAAAGAGUAAGAACAAAACCGAGCAACCUGGGUCGGGAGAUCUAUCGACCGCUACGUACGUGUCUCACGUCUCGUCUCAACUCUCACCGCCCGUGAUACCUGAAAAAUGGUAGGGGAGGUGAGAAUAUGUAAACAUGUCUCCCCUCCCAGUGGGUACCGCAAACCGAAGAAGGCGAGGAGUACUCACCGGAUCAGGAAGAACUAUAUAACAACACGGGUUAGUGGAAGUAUAGUAGCAACAAUAAUACACGAAAGAGGUAUAUAAGAUAACUGAAUACAGUAGCAAUAAACUGAAAGGAAGUAGGAACUAUACUGAAUAAAUGGCUACCGCUACUGUAACUAGAACAGAAGGCAUACAUGAAUAUCUACUAUAGUAGCAAGACAACUAUAAAGUAAGAACUGUAAGUAUGCAUGCAACGACUGCUACUAUAGACAUAUGCGUCAAACGGACAAGAAGUCCAAAAUACCCAAUCUAAACCGCCGUGUCGGUCUAAGGACCUCAGGCAAAAGCCCACUAACACUCUACCUGCAUAUAACCCAGUCCUGACCGCUGGGCUCACGGGUUGACACAAGCAACCACUUUUCCGGAAAAGAACACUCCUUGCGGUGGAUCAGACCGCCAGUGUUCGUGAAAUGCGACGAGUCGGGCGAUCAAUGCUGAUAUGCUCAAAGGCCAACCGUCGGCAACCAGCCGACAAUCCUGCCCACAGG
rnacentral:lncRNA from 1 species